GUGAGUGGAGGAGGAGGUGUUGAUGGUAGCAAAGCAUGUGGGCAGUGGGCUUGAAUCUCUUAAAAACUUGGAACUCCUCCAAGCGUAAGUAUCCGUAUACUGGGAAAUGUGUUAGAUGUGGAUGAGGCUAAGAGAUUAGAGCUUGACAAAAUGAAAUACCUCUUUCGUUGAGACUUAAAUUUGAUGGGGAAGAAGAAAAAGAAGAGGGAAGGAGGAAGAAUGAGGAUAAUCAACUUGUUCUUGAAGCCUUGCAACCACCUCUGAAUUUGAAGGAAUUAGAGAUUUGGUCAUACAGAGGCAACAUUGCUUCCCCCAGGAUGAUGCAAAAAUUGAAGGAAUUUACCAAUCUAAGGAGUUUGAUACUGUAAAAACUGCAAAAACUUGAGAGCAGUUGCCUCCUUUGGGAAAAUUGUGAUCCUUUGAAAAUCUCAGCAUAUUGUACAUGGAGAGUGUGAGAACAGUGGGUAAUGAAUUUCUGGGAAUAGAAAGUGAUCUUCAUGACUCAUCUUCAUCUUCAUCAGUUAUUAUUGCCUUCCCCAAAUUGAAAUCACUUUCAGUUGAGGGAUUGAUGGAAUUGGAGGAGUGGGAUUAUGGGAUUAAAAGAACAGGAAACACCUUCACCAACAUUAUGCCACGUCUUUCUUCCUUGGAAAUUAGUGUGGGGUUAUGGGAUCGCACAACGACGUUGAAGGUAUUGCAGAUUGUGGCAUGUGGUACUCUAAGAAGACGUUACAGACAGGGUAGAGCAGAAGACUGGCCUAAGUUCUCUCACAUUCCAGACAUCAUGAUUGUGUGAAAAGAUGCCCUUGACAAAAUUCUCUAGGCGGCUACAUGGAGUACAAUCAUAAAAUGCUAAUGUGGCCACCCUGGUUCUUAAUUAAGGUUGUGAAAUAUUAUUGUAAAAGAUGAUUAAUUCAAUUUGAGUCAUUCGUUUGCUUUGAUAAUGAUAGUAAUUUUAUAUUUUGACAAUUUGCAAGGUGAGAAUGGUGCUGAUUGGUGAUACAGGAUAUGGUUCAAACACCAUUGAAUAAAGCUACGGACAUGGUGGCUCAACUUAGCUAGACUGCUGUCAAAAUUGGUAAGUUGGCUUGUCAAUGUAUUGAUGCUUUUGUUUUCUCUCAACCCUAAUUACCUUACCUUCAUUUAGUUUGGCUUUGGAGUUGAGUAAUAACUUUCAAGGUUCUCAAACAGAGCAGGACAACCGAAAAAAAAUAGCUUAAUUUGCUGCAGAUCACGUGUUACCAAUUAUUUAAGGUAAUUCUCGUUUACUUGCUUCUACACUAUAGAGUACGUGUUCUGGCUGGUUUAUCUAAUUCAUCAAAUGUUAUUUCCUUAUUGUUCCAUUGAUAUAUUUGUUAGAAAAUGAAACCAUUUCCAGGCAGCAGUUGGCAGUGAAUUCAUGCAAAUGUUGAUGCCAUUCAUAGAUAUUGAAGAUAAUGAUGAGCCAAAGGUGAUAAAUCAUUAAUGCAUAGUUACCAAAACCUCCAUCCUUCUCUCAUUGUAAUUUGAUUUGAAAUGAAUAAUUGCUAGGUAAUUGAAGCCAAUAUUGUUAGAAACGGUGUUGAGCUACCCAAGCUAAGAAGUUAGCUGCCAAAAAAUGCAGGGGAUCAAAAGAAGCAUUGCAGUGCUACAAUGCUGCUACUGGGAAAUUUAAAUCCCAUAUUAGACUUUCCUCACAUCAGAAGCUGUGGAUCUUCGGACAUCAGGUUUUUUCACAGUUCUUAAACUCUCAGGAUUAAACUCUAUUAAAGUUGUUGUAGUUGUCUACGUUCUCAGGUCAAGGAUUCUAAGCUGCCGAUUAAGGCAAAAUAUCAGAAUUCCCCUAUUAUUAUUUUUUUUCAUGUAAAUUUAUGUUGUUGUCUUCGCCCAUGAAUCUUAGCAAAAUUCUGAACCAAUUGUUUGCUAUUAUAAAUUUCAUUGUUAAAUAUUAAUUGUGAUGUUGGUGUUGAGUUUCUUUUAAAGUCACAGAAGCCUGACGAUUGAGUUCCGUGGGACUCUGAGAAGCAGUAAUAUUUUGAACAAGUGAAGGUUCUUCGUUUUUAAUUAUGUUCUGCACUUUUACAGUAUGUGCAGAUGUCUAAGAGGCAGGAUUUUAAUUUCUGUAAUGCUAAAUUUCGCAAAACAAUAAAAAAAAUAAAUGCAUGACAGUGACUUCAAGAAUUUAGAUUAUUGAAUUUGGCCAUUUCAAAAUUGAACCAGAGCUCAGAAAUGUAGAAUAUAAAUAUUGGAGAUUUGAACUUCAAUCAUUAGAUUUGAAGCUAAAGAGGUAAGCCAUUAAUUACAUCAAAUGAUUUGGAAAAUGGAGGAAUUGGAAAAAGGAAACUUUUUCUUUGUCCGAUUCAAGGGGAACGUCACAGAGAGGGGUAAAGAGAAGAGUAGCCUAAGAUAUUAAAGACAAUGUUGAGGCAAAGGAAACAUAAAUCCCAACCAUUGCAUGUGAGCAUGAUCACAAUAAAUCCCAACCAUCCAAACCAUUUUUUUGAGAAUUUUCAAUUGAAAGUGAAACCUUUUGACAUUUACCUAAUAAAGUAAGUUAAACGAGAGAAAUAAAGGGGGGAAAAAAAGUUGACUCAAGUCAAUACAGAAUUAUUAGUUCAACCUGGAGAAACUAAAACAGAGACACUAUAUUUUCAAAAAUAUCUGCAUUCAUCACCUUCUCCAACAGCUAAUGAGCUACACACGAAUCAUUUCCUUUUAGCAUUUUUGCAGCAUCAAUUUAUCCCCUCGUUUGUCAUCAGUUUCUCCCUUCGUUUCACCAAUACCAUGGCUGAUGCAAUCCUUUCCCCUCUCUUGGAGCAGCUGAUUAUCUUCGCUGCUGAAGAGAUGAGACAACAGGGGAAGCUGGUGAGUGUUGGAUGAGCGGAUCACAGCAUGCGCCAAAUUGCAAAUUGAGAGCGGCAUUGAUGACAAUGCUCUUGGUGCUCCUUAUCUGAAGAAGAAGGUAUAUUCCUGCUUUCCUGCUUCUUGCUUUGGUUUCAAACAAGUCUUUCACUGUCAUAACAUUUAUUGUAAUUUCAUUUGGAGAUAUGUAAUAUCUGUUGUCCAGAUAUAUUUCAUACACCAGCUGCUAAUAAUUCUGCUUGAAGAGAACUUGCAAAGGAGCUGUGUGAUGUAAUAGAAGACUAUAGUCUGGUCAAUUUUUUCAACCUUAGAUAUUAGGAAGUUAUGUAUUUCAUUAUCAGUUAUCAUUAUGAUUCUUAUCUUCAAAAAGAUAAAUGGAUGGCUUUGAAUGGCUUGUGUUUGAGGAUUUUAGUUGGACUUAUUUUGAUUGAAGUACUUUUUGACAAUAGAAUUCCUUCAUGAUUUAAACAUUCUUUUUAAAAUCAAAUAAUCAAAAAAAUUAAAUAAAUAAAUAGAGUAACUAACAAAUAUGAUUUUAUUUUGUUAGUGUUUUUCUCAUCAAAUAUACAUAAGAGUACUGUAAUUAAUUGCAACCAAUUUUUCACUAAAUACGCCUACAACAAACUAUUAAUAAUAAAGUGAUAGAAAAAUGCCUAAUUUUUCAUACUUUCUAAUUUCUUUUGGCCCUAAAAUAUAGGUAUUUAUGUCAUAAUAAGCCCAUGUGGAUCUCAAUGCCGAAAGUUCGAUAAAUGGCUUUCAAGGAUUACUUAUUAAGGUGGCGUUUGUUUUUUAACUUAAUGACUUAAAGUGACUUAACUUAAUUAAUUAAGUUAAUUAGAGGUGUUUGUUUUUAUAACUUAAUGAAACUUUUUAGAUAAUUUUGACUUAAUAAAAUAAGCUAAUUUUUUUGGCUUUUUACUUAAUUGAGAAAUAUGAAUUAAGUCAAUUACUUGCUAAUGUCAAAAAUAUCCCUGUUUUAUAAUUUAUUUUUCAUGUCUAUCCCAAAACUCACCCAUAGAUAAUUACCCCACAUAAAAAUAUCCCUAUUUUUUCUUUUUUAUAUUAUAUACGAUAAAAUUUAAAAUUUAUGGUAUUUUAUAUAUUAAAAUUCCAAAAUAAUUAUGUAUUCACUUGAAUAUAGUUUUACUUAUAAAUGUUAAAAUAUUGUGGUAUUUAAUAUAUUAUUUAUUUAACAUUCAAAUUUAAUAAGGAUACAAAUGUAAAAGUACAUAUUUUCAGCUUUUUAAGCUGAAAAAACAAACAACUUAAUACUUAUUUUUCGAGAUUCAGACGAAAAAACAAACAUAUUAUUCAGAUUCAGAUAUUCAGACCUAUUCAGAAUUCAGACUAAUUCAGGUCUACUCAGAUUUCAGAUAAACAAAACAAAUGCCACCUAAGUAAAAAAUAAUUCAAAGGACAAAAUGGUAAAACUAGAAGGGUGGAGUAAUAUGGCUACCUUGGGUUACAUAGUAAGUUGACUACAUUCAAAGUAUAAAAUAUUAGAAACUGAACGGUGGAGUAAUCGUCGUUUAGAUGAAUGAUAUGUCUAAGACGUUGCAUGCAUCAAGAAAAUUGCAGAUGAUUAAACCUUGCCAUCUAUGCGUUGUAUGAGGUUAUAGCAACUAUCUAUCUGGUCACCGUUUUCAAGUCUCAAUUGGUAGUCCAAAGAAAAGAAUGAUUUUGCAAUAGCAUUAAGUGUUAAUUGGACACAAAAGGAAGUGUUUUAACCACUUUAAGGAAAGUAAAUGUAAUUUUCUGUCCUAAAGAAAAGGUAAAUGUAUGCACUUUCAAUUAAUCUUUGGUCGACCAGCAACAUCAUAAUUUCGUUUAGGUUCAUUUUUGUUUCUUAGAGUUUGUAAAAAGAAUGGAAAGAUUUUAAAAUAUAAAUUUCAUAUCUGUUUAUUACUGUUGUUUGGUCUAAUUUCUUAUGUAGAAUUUUCAGAAUCUGUAGGACAUUAGUUUAUAAUUUUGAGAUUUUGCAGCCAUAAAUGUAUUUUUCUUUUUUUGUUGCCAUUUUAUUUUGCUCCUUUAUCUAUGUGCAUGUUGACUGGCUGCAGUGAGUGAAAAUUUACCUAUAUAUGCUGGCUAUUCUUGGACAAUAUUAGAGAAAAUAAUCAUAUUAUUUCGCGUGAUGUGAACUUCCAUAACUUAUCAAUUGAAUUGCUGUAAAAUAUUAAAUAGUUUUAUUUUUCUUUUAUCGUGUAACUUGGACCAAAAAAGGAAAUGAGUUUAACAUGACCCUCAUUCCGGCACUAUGCCUGUUUUUCUUGUAUUGAUGACAGUGCUCUUGGUGCUUCUCAUCUGCUUCUUGCUUUGGUUUCAAACGAGUCUUUCUCCGUCAAGACAUUUAUUGUAAUUUCAUUUGGAGACAUCUAUCGUUCAAUAUAUUUCAUAUGCAAGCUGUUAAUAAUUCUGCUUGCAGAAAGCCUACAAAGCAGCUGUGUGAUUUAAUAGAAGACCAUAGUCUCGUCAAUUUUUCAACAUUAGAUAUUCAGUGUCAUAUUUGGCUGCAUCUAGAAGCCACUGCAUCUAGAAGCCUUGAAUAAGCAAAGUUGGCUUUGACAGCCGGCCAAAGAAAAUGUUGAAGAAUUUGGCAGCAGCAAAUUUGGAAUGAAGAAAAAGAAGAAAGAAGAAAAUAGAAGAAUGAAGACGGUGGUAAAAAUAAUAAUUUAAUAGCCAUUUUUUUGGCUAUAAAAGGCAGAGCUCCUCAUUUCAUUUUGUAUCCAAUUCCAUUCAGAGAGCAAUUUAGGGAGUUGAGAGAGAGUUUGAGAGCUUGCAUUUAUAAGCUCUUGUUACAGUGAUUGAGAGAGUUUGGGUGUAUUGGGGUUUUAGGGAAGUGAGCUAAAAUACUACAAUACUUGUAACUCCUUUUCACUAGUAAAAUAUUUCCUUCUGUCUUCGCCCGUGGAUGUAGGCUAAAAGCCGAACCACGUAAUUUCUGGUGUCCUCUAUUGUGCUGGUUCUUUAUUUUUUCUUCCAAUUUCAUUUUAGCUGCGGUCCUACUUCACCCACCAAUUUCCUAACAGUGGUAUCAGAGCCAGGUUGUAUUUUUUGGAGUCGGGAACUGUUCCGGUCCUACUUCACCCACCAAUUUCCUAACAGUGGUAUCAGAGCCAGGUUGUAUUUUUUGGAGUCGGGAACUGUUCACGUAAGGGGUACUAUUCACGUAUACGGCACCGUACACGUAUAUGAAACUAUUCACGUAUACGGUACUGUUCAUAUAUACGGUGUUGUUUACAUAGACUGUACUAUUCACGUAUAUGGUACUAUUCACGUGAAGCGGUGGAAGCGAUCCAAGAAUUUUACGGUGCAACUAUUCAAGGUGGUACACUAACUUGUGUGCAGUAUUUAUCAACAAAAUGGCGGCAAAGUAUGAAAUUGAGAAAUUUAACAACUAUUCAAGGUGGUACACUAACUUGUGUGCAGUAUUUAUCAACAAAAUGGCGGCAAAGUAUGAAAUUGAGAAAUUUAACGGAAAUAAUUUUUCGUUGUGGAAAAUGAAGAUGAAAGCUGUAUUGAGGAAAAAUAAUUGUUUGGCAGCAAUUGGAGAAAGGCCCAUGGAGAUAACUGAUGACAAGUGGAACGAGGUAGACGGCAAUGCCAUUUCUGAUCUACACUUGGCAGUUGCGGAUGGAGUAUUAUCCAGUGUGGCAGAGAAAAAUACGGCGAAGGAAAUAUGGGAUACUCUCACAAAAUUGUAUGAGGCCAAGUCACUACACAACAAAAUUUUCUUGAAGAGAAAACUCUAUAUUCUUCGAAUGACGGAAUCUACAAUGGUGACCGACCACAUCAACACAUUGAAGACUCUAUUUUCACAACUCACAACGUUGGGUCAUAAUAUAGAGGAAAAUGAACGUGCACAGCUUCUACUUCAAAGUCUACCAGAUUCGUAUGAUCAACUCAUCAUCAACUUGACGAACAACAAUCCAGUGGAGAGUCUAGUUUUCGAUGAUGUUGCAGCCUCCGUAUUAAAUGAGGAGAGCAGGCGGAAAAAUAAGGAAAACAGACAAGCAAGUUCGCAGUAAGCAGAAGCGCUAUCGGUGACGAGAGGGAGUUCAACGGAACGUGGCCCCAGUGGGAGUCAAAAUCAGGGUAGAUCAAAAUCCAGAAGUAAGAAGAAUGUUAAAUGCUACAACUGUGGCAAGAAAGGGCAUGUCAAGAAAGAGUGUUGGAGUAACCAGAAGAGAAGAGAGGGCAAAGAACCUGAGUCAUCAAAUGCUCAGGGGUGUGUAGCAAGUACCUCAGAUGAUGGCGAAAUUCUCUACAGUGAGGCAACAACUAUUUCAGAAGGCAGAAAACGACUUUAUGAUGUCUGGCUUAUAGACUCAGGAGCUACCUAGCACAUGACCUCUAGGAGAGAAUGGUUCCACACAUAUGAACCUAUCUCAGGAGGAUCUGUAUAUAUGGGUAACGAUCAUGCCUUGGAGAUCGCUGGUAUUGGUACUAUCAAAAUAAAAAUGUUUGAUGGUACAAUUCGCACAAUUGGGGAGGUACGACAUGUCAACGGCCUGAAGAAAAAUCUAUUGUCUUUGAGACAAAUAGAUAGUCAUGGGUACAAAACUCAUGUGGAGAAUGGAAUUAUGAAGAUCGUUAAAGGCGCGCUUGUAUUGAUGAAGGCAGAAAAGAUCGGUGCUAAUCUAUACAUGCUUAAAGGAGAAACGCUACAGGAGGCAGAUGCGUGUGUCGCAUCAAAUGGAGAAGAGUCAACGAUGAUGUGGCAUCUCAAACUUGGCCACAUGUCAGAACAAGGUUUGAAGAUUCUCUCUGAGCGAAAAUUGCUUCCGGGGCUCAAAUCGGUAAGUUUACCAUUUUGCGAGCAUUGUGUUACAAGUAAGCAGCAUAGAUUAAAAUUCAGUAGAUCUAUUGCUAGAAGUAAAUGCAUUCUAGACUUGAUUCAUUCUGAUGUUUGGGAAUCACCGGAUAUAUCCAUGGGAGGUGCAAAGUACAUGGUGACUUUCAUUGAUGAUUAUUCCAGAAGAUGUUGGGUGUAUCCAAUUAAGAAAAAGUCAGAUGUAUUUCCAGUGUUUAAAGAAUACAAAGCGCGGGUGGAACUUGAAUCUAGUAAAAAGAUCAAGUGCUUAAGGACGGAUAAUGGUGGAGAGUAUACAGACGGCGAGUUUCUUGCUUUCUGUAAGCAAGAAGGUAUUCAGAGGCAGUUCACGGUGGCAUACACUCCUCAACAAAACGGAGUAGCGGAGCGGAUGAACAGAACUCUUACAGAAAGAAUAAGAGCUAUGUUGAGGACUGCUGGUCUACCCAAUUCAUUCUGGGUAGAAGCAGCAAAAACCGCCUGUUAUAUAGUAAAUCGGUCGCCAUCUACAGCUAUUGGGUUGAAGACAGCGAUGGAGAUGUGGACUGGAAAGCCAGCUGAUUAUUCCUACCUACAUGCAUUUGGAUGUCCUAUGUACGUGAUGUACAAUGCCCAAGAAAGAACAAAGCUGGAUGCAAAAUCUAGAAGAUGUAUCUUCUUGGGGUAUGCUGAUGGAGUAAAGGGGUAUCGUCUGUGGGACCCCACUGCCCACAAGAUCGUCAUCAGCAGAGAUGUUAUCUUUGUAGAAGAUCAACUACAAAGAAAAGAUGGAGAUGAUGGCACUGUAAAAGAAAAGUCAGAGACUGUACCAGUAUAUGUCGAAAAUAAUCUAGAAGAUUCAAAUUCUUCUGAAGUAGCACCAGAGCACGAUGAACAAGAACCAGUCGAGUCCGAGGCUCCAGAAGUUCGUCGGUCAACUCGUGAGAGACGACCGCCGGCGUGGCACUCGGAGUAUGUCACAGAGAUCAACGUUGCAUACUGUCUUCUAACAGAGGAUGAAGAGCCUUCAACUUUCCAUGAAGCUUUAAACAGCUCAGAUGUUGCUUUGUGGAUGACAGCAAUGCCGGAAGAAAUUGAAGCUCUACACAAGAACAAGACAUGGGAACUUGUACCACUACCACACGGAAGAAAAGCCAUUGGAAACAAAUGGGUCUACAAGAUCAAACGUGAUGGCAAUGAUCAAGUGGAGCGGUAUCGUGCGAGAUUGGUGGUGAAAGGAUAUGCUCAGAAAGAAGGUAUUGACUUCAACGAAAUAUUUUCUCCGGUGGUUCGACUCACAACAGUCAGAAUAGUCUUGGCGAUGUGUGCUACAUUUGAUCUACAUCUUGAGCAGUUUGAUGUGAAAACUGCAUUUCUUCAUGGAGAACUUGAAGAAGAAAUAUAUAUGCUCCAACCAGAAGGUUUUGCAGAAACAGGAAAUGAGAACUUGGUUUGCAGGUUGAACAAAUCUCUAUACGGUCUCAAACAGGCGCCGAGGUGUUGGUAUAAGAGAUUUGAUUCCUUCAUCAUGAGCCUUGGAUACAACAGACUCAGUUCAGACCAUUGUGCAUAUUACAAGAGGUUUGAAGAUAAUGAUUUCAUUAUUUUGCUAUUGUAUGUGGAUGACAUGUUGGUAGCAGGUCCCAACAAAGAUCGAAUCCAAGAAUUGAAGGCACAGUUGGCUAGGGAGUUUGAAAUGAAGGACUUGGGACCAGCAAACAAGAUUCUAGGGAUGCAAAUUCACCGAGACAGAAAUAAUAGGAAGAUUUGGCUUUCUCAGAAAAAUUACUUGAAGAAAAUCUUGCGGCGCUUCAACAUGCAAGAUUGUAAGUCAAUUUCUACCCCACUUCUUGUUAAUUUCAAAUUAUCCUCAAGUAUGUGUCCUAGCAAUAAAGUGGAGAGGAAGGAUAUGUCUCGAGUACCGUAUGCAUCAGCAGUGGGAAGUUUGAUGUUCGCUAUGAUAUGUACUAGACCAGACAUUGCACAAGCAGUGGGAGCAGUCAGUCGAUACAUGGCGAAUCCUGGUGGAGAGCAUUGGAUAGCUGUGAAGAGGAUUCUGAGAUACAUCAGAGGAACCUCAGAUGUUGCAUUAUGUUAUGGAGGAUCAGAGUUUACUGUCAGGGGCUAUGUGGAUUCAGAUUUUGCAGGAGAUCUUGAUAAAAGGAAAUCCACUACUGGUUAUGUGUUUACACUUGCGGGAGCAGCUGUAAGCUGGGUUUCGAAACUGCAGACCGUUGUGGCUUUAUCUACAACAGAAGCAGAGUACAUGGCAGCUACACAAGCUUGCAAGGAAGCUAUUUGGAUACAAAGAUUAUUGGAGGAGCUCGGGCACAAACAACAGAAAAUUUCUGUGUAUUGUGACAGUCAGAGUGCCUUGCACAUUGCAAGGAAUCCAGCCUUUCAUUCCAAGACAAAGCACAUAGGAGUUCAGUAUCACUUCAUUCGUGAAGUAGUGGAAGAUGGAAGUGUGGAUUUGCAGAAAAUCCAUAUGAAGGAGAACCUAGCAGAUGUUUUUACCAAGCCAAUAAAUGCUGACAAGUUUAUCUGGAGUAGAUCCUCUUGUGGCCUAGCAGCAACGUAGGCAACAUGAUUAUGGCGAAGCAUAAAGGAUGGUGUGGAGAUUGAUUGAUUCUCAAUCUAAUCUCCAAGUGGGAGAAUGUCAUAUUUGGCUGCAUCUAGAAGCCACUGCAUCUAGAAGCCUUGAAUAAGCAAAGUUGGCUUUGACAGCCGGCCAAAGAAAAUGUUGAAGAAUUUGGCAGCAGCAAAUUUGGAAUGAAGAAAAAGAAGAAAGAAGAAAAUAGAAGAAUGAAGACGGUGGUAAAAAUAAUAAUUUAAUAGCCAUUUUUUUGGCUAUAAAAGGCAGAGCUCCUCAUUUCAUUUUGUAUCCAAUUCCAUUCAGAGAGCAAUUUAGGGAGUUGAGAGAGAGUUUGAGAGCUUGCAUUUAUAAGCUCUUGUUACAAUGAUUGAGAGAGUUUGGGUGUAUUGGGGUUUUAGGGAAGUGAGCUAAAAUACUACAAUACUUGUAACUCCUUUUCACUAGUAAAAUAUUUCCUUCUGUCUUCGCCCGUGGAUGUAGGCUAAAAGCCGAACCACGUAAUUUCUGGUGUCCUCUAUUGUGCUUGUUCUUUAUUUUUCUCCCAAUUUUACUUUAGCUGCGUGUCUGCUUCACCCACCAAUUUCCUAACAUUCAGCUCAUCAGCUUCUCAUGAAUUCUUUCCUGAGUUUCUUUGAAUUAUUUGUGAUGCAAUAACUUGUGCAUUUGAGAAACUGUUCUCUGGAAUUCUUUCUUGAGUUUCUUUGAAUUAUUUGUGAAUAAGUUGUUAAUCGGCUGCUUCUCUUCAAGAUAAGGAAAGUGUUGCAAACUGGUGAAGCAGCUGAUAGAUAAAAGCAAUGCCAGUGUGGUUGAAUUCAGCAAGAUUGGCGUUCGUGAUGCAAACGAGAUUACAUAGUGGUUAAAAGCAAUAAUCAAUGUUUUAACCAUAAAAACUUCUUUCCACCUAUUUUCGGCCUUGUGAUUCUCAUAUCCAUAGAACUUUUUGGUAAUUUAAUCAUAUUUCAUCGUAUGCAUCUGCAUCUUCUAACCAGUGCGUUUGAGAAACUAAUUUUGCUGUUAGGCAGGUUUCAAGCUUGAUUAAUGUAUUUUUCAUAAAUGUACCAAAGUUAUGUAAACCAAAUAAUAAAAAAUAAAUAAAAGGAAAUGAGUUUAAUAUAACCUCCAUUCCAGCACUAUGCACGUUAAUUGUUCCCCAAGGACUCUCCUGAUUCUUAUUCCCAACCUCCAUGCUCUCAAGAGGAGUUUAGCACCCAUCAAUUUUUACUUUUGAAAACUCGUAAUGGUCUGAUAAAAUUAAACAACAUUAAAAAUGUUACCAGUCAUUAAAUAGUAAUUUAUUUAUUUACUUUGCCACCUAAAGGAAUCCUGCUGUAAAUAGAGGUUAAAAAUUUUAUUAGAUCUACUUACCUUUGUUCAUUCAGCAAACACAUACAAUUUACAACUAGUGAAUCUAUCCGUUGACAAUUGUGGAUUAAAAUUAUAACACCUGAAUUCAAACAUAUUUUACGAAGUUAUGAAUUUGUUCAUACUUCAAAUGAUUUUUUUUCCCCAAGCUAAUAAAGCUACCACAUUGAUCAAAUGACGACGUUGAAGGAAUUGCGUAUUUUUCAAUGUCCUUUUCCAGACACACGUUGGAGAGAGGGAAAGAAGAAGACUGGCUUAAUUAAGAUAUCUCACAAAGAUUAUUGAGUUAAAAUGUUAUUGUAAAAGAUGUUUAAUACGAUAAUAGUACUUCUUUUGCAUUGUUAUAAUAAGGUUGGUAGGUUUCCCCAGAGGAUGGAUCUGGCUCGCUAGUCUCCAUUUGGGAAGAUGCUAAUUAUCGGCCAUAAAAAAGUCAAGGGGUUGUGGCUCUUCUGUGGCCCAGAAAUUCCUAAUCUCAUAUCUCAAACUUGGGCAUUAUGUAAAUAUGUAUUUUUGAGAAUUAAACUAUUGCGUAGAAAAAUUUUGAGCCAUUGUAAUCAUUUUAUUUUGCUAAGAGAAAAUUUUACUUUGUGUUUCGAUUUGACUUUUGUUUUGUUUGUGAUAAUAAGAUUCAUACCAAUGUGAUUACACACCUAUCAUGCUUCUAUUUUCAUUUGCUUGUCAUGAUAGAUCAACAUGCUCAAAAAUAUUUAUUUAGGUUGGAAAUAUUUGAAUCCACUAAAAUACUAUACAAACCCAUUUUAAAAUUUUAAAAAAAAUGAUUAUCAUAAUACUCGUGAAGAUAACGCGAUAUCAUACAUAAAAUAAAAUAUUUCGCAAAAAAGAUAGGAUACAAAUCUUAAGUAAGUGGGUAUAAAAAAUAUUUUAGUGAGUUCAAGUAGCACUAAUGCCCCCUUAUCAAAAAAUAUAUAAAAAUAACUAGUCUGAUUGGGUAUACCGUUGGCUAAACUAAAGUUCUGAAGAUAUAUAUAUAUAUAUAUAUAUUGAUAAUUUAUAAUGUACAUUAUAGAGAAAGAUUUUGAAAGUAAUAUUUUUUUAGUAUUAUUAUAUAAUAUUUUGUAAAAAGUAGAGAGAGUGAGCAAAACCAAAUUAAUUUUCUAACCCCCCUCCUUUAGGAUUUAAACUCAUUUUUUAGUGUCGCCGGCCAUUCAAAUUUUCUAGUUGAAUAGGCUAAAUUGCAUGAAAUUGUGCUAGCUUAGCUUGAUUCUAGAAAUUUCCAGUACACUGUAACACAUUCCCACACUUGUACAUAGCUCGAAAUUCUCUAGAAUUUACUAUAGUAGCGUAACAUGUAGCUUGUACAUAGGUUUUUCUAUAACACUCCAGGCAUUACUAGGCAUGAGAGCUCUCACCAAGCUUUGAGAACUCUCUAGACAUAAAACAUUCUAGCGCAAGCCUACCCUAAAAAUAGGGCAUGAAGCUUGCCAUUCGAGCAUACAACAAGUAAGAACAAUUCAAGCAUACUUGUAAGCUCUCAAACUCUCUUAUACACACUCUUGUGAAUAAUAUAAUUUCCCUUUGGCUAUAUUGUUCUCUCUUCUCUCUAGUUUUUUCGAAAGCAUCAUAACUUAGCUAGUCGAAAAAUUCAAGGCUUACUUUGCAACUAUCUCGUAAAAGUUGUUUAAGUACCACAGGAGUUUGCUGUACAAAAUACUCAUCCCGUGACAUUAGUCAAAUAAAAUUGUUUGAAAGCCACUUACCCGGAUAUUAUUCUUUUAAUAUGCAAUCUUUUAAUAUAAACUUUUGUCUUAAUUUUCUAUCUCCUACGAUAAAUUUUAGAAUUUUAAAAAUUUUAAAAAUUAAUAACUAUUAGAUAGAGCAUUUACUGUUAAAAGAAAUCUAUAUAGAUAUAUAGAUACAUAGUAAUAUAAAAACUUACUACAAUAUAAUGUUUUUAGUUUCUUAUUUUUUCAAGAUAAAAUUCAAAGACACAAGUUAAAUGUUGUGGAAAAUCUUCCACCCAUACAAGAAAUCGUCACAGCUAAAUGCAAACCGAGCUAAAGUAUUAGUUGUUUUAUUACAAUCUCUAAAAAGAUGAGCGAUUCCAAAAUCUUUCUUUGUAACAAUAAGCACUACAGUUCAGCAACUAUCCAAGUCAAAAGCAACUCAAUGUGAGUGCUAAGCUAAAUCAAUUUCAUUAACAAAUUAGAUGCCAAAGAGCAAGGCUUCGUCCUCAAUUAUAUUGACAUUAUCUGAGUAAACUCUAAAUACCACAAUCAACCCCAAAAAACAUGACUAACUAUUGUGUUUAAAAUAAAUUUUUUUUUUUUUAGAUAUCCGUUGGUAGUAUCUCUUUAGAUGAAUAUAGGAGAUAAAAUAAAUAAAUAUUUAUUGUGUAAAUAAAAAUAAAUAAAUUUUUUUGAACGGAAAAAAUUCCCAAGAACUAAAUUGUUCAAACGUUUUUUAACAUCAUGUGUUUCUAAUAAUUUAGGGUUGGGCAUUCAGUUCGGUUUUUACCGAACUGAACAACUAAAUUAAAUUGAAAUUACCCUAUUCGGUUCAAUUGAAUAGACAAAAACUAGAGCUGGCAAAACGGGUCAUCGGGUCGUGUUCAUGUCGUGUCAGUUUCGUAUCGUGUCAAAUUUAGUUCAACCCAAACCCGACCCAUUUAAUAAUCAUGUCAAAAUAUUGAGACCCAAACCCGAUACGGAAAAAUAAUCGGGUCACCCAAUAACCCGCUGAAUAUCUAUAUAUUUAACAAAAGUUACAUCAAAUAUUUACACAUUAUCAUACAUGCGUAUGUACAUACAUAAUUUAUCGAUAUUAUAAAAUAUACAUAUCUACCAAAAUAUUACACAUUUACACUAUUGAGGUUUUAAUUAAUUAUAUAUAUAUAUAAUAUUAUAUAUUAAUAUUAUAAAAUAUACAUAUCUACCAAUAUUUUAUACAUUUACACUAUUGAAACUCUAAAUGUGUUUAAAAUUUUAUAAAUAAAAUAUUGUACUUAUAUUCAUCCUUUUAAAGAAUAUAAAUAAAAGAGAAAAUCAUCUCUAAUAUUUAAGUUUUGAUGACAAAAACCUACAAAUUAUUUUAAAAUAGAAAAUAUAAUCGGGUCAUUAGUCGGGUAAAUGGGUCAAUAAUUUUAACCCUAACCCGACACGGAAAAAAAUCGUGUCGACCCGAACCCGACCCAUUUAAUAAUCGUGUUAAAUUCAACGACCCAUACCCAUUUAUUUGUGUCGUGUUCGUAUCGAGUAAUCGGAUCGUGUCAAAUUUUGCCAGCUCUAACAAAAACCGAACAGUUUAUAUUUUUAUGAAUUGAAUGAUUUGUAUUUUAGUUUAGUUCGGUUCGGUUCUGGAUCUAAACCGAACCGAACCGUAAACCGUAAACUGCCCACCCUUAAAGUUUCCAUUAACCGCCGUUGCAUUGCUCAAAUCACAGUCUCUCGCUUUCAGCUCAGUCAGAGUUUCCAGGUCCAGAGACUUGCCGCUGACUGAGAGCUUUUUAGUAGCAGGUCUACAAAUAAUGGAAUAGAGCUGAUUUAAUGAUUAAUUUAUUUCCUUUUUCAAUUUCUUUUGAUUGCCAUGUAAUCUGGAUAAGUUAAACGUGAAUUGUUUAGUGCAGAUUAAAUGUUCGACGAAUUUCCCGCAAGAAUAUUAAGUUAAAGAGAAAAAAAGAAAACAAUUGAGCGUGAGCGAGAAUGGUGUUUGGCCAAGUGGUGAUUGGUCCGCUCGGCUCGGGAAAGCCCACUUACUGCAAUGGCAUGUCUUAGUUUCUCAGCCUUGUUGGCAGGUAACUUCGUUUCUUGAUUUCAAGCAGCUUUCUCUUUGAUGGCCAAAAAUAUUGAUUUGGGCUUUGCCCUUUAAAUUAAUGUAAGAGCGGUAGGGAAUAAUCGAGUUAUAGUCUUAGCUUUAAGUGAACAUUGAUGAUAACAUGCAUGUGAAGGUUGUAUGUGUUCAGCGGCAAGUUGUAUGCCAAUUUGGUCUAUAUGGUUUUUUUGUUGGUAACUUAUUAAUUUUUAUGCAGGAAGGUUACAGUCAUCAAUUUGGAUCCUGCUAGUGAUAGUUUGUCGUAUCCUUUGUCAGAACCUUUUUACAAAUGCUGUGGUUUGUUGUACUAUAAUUAGUUCAAUCGGAAACUUCCUUGAUGUUAAUAUAGAUAUGAGUGUGCUGUGAAUAUUGAGGACCUCAUUAGACUAAGUGAUGUGAUGAAGGAGCAUUCACUUGGUCCCGAUGGAGGUUAGUCAUCCUAUUGUUGUUUACUCUUUCUUGCUUUAUCACGCAAUGAUAUUCCUUUGCUUUACAAAAAAUUUCAUGAAAUUAACUUCAAUCAAGUGGCUACCUGUUGAGAUUUUAUGGAUAAUGAUUUGGUAGAGUUUAUAUGCCCUCUUCUUUCUUUUUGCAGUGAUAUGUUUGUAUUCAAUGUGCUUGUACUUAUUCUACGAUUUCUAACGUAGGUGUUUUUAUGAUAAACUAGGUCUUGUGUAUUGUAUGGACUAUCUAGAGAAGAUUAUUGACUGGUUGCAGUCGAAAUUGGAACCACUUUUGAAAGGUAAGAAGAGGCCAUUUUGCUUCAUUCUAAUGCCAAUAAUGCUGUCAUGAGACUCAUAAAAAUUGUUAAAACGUUAAUGUUUUUGGUAUUUUGCAGAUCAUUAUCUUCUGUUUGAUUUUCCUGGCCAAGUUGAAUUAUAUUUUCUUCAUUCCAAUGCCAAGAAUGUUAUAUGAGACUCAUAAAGAAGUUAAAUCUCAGGGUAUUGUUACAUCUUACAUAUAUGAAGGGACUCAAAGAGUUGAGAUGAAUUCAUCUUUGUUAUUUUGAUGCCAGAAUUGUGCAAUUCUCAGUUGGUUCCUUUCACAUGCAGUUGACUGCAGUGCAUCUAGUUGAUGCGCAUCUUUGCAGUUGUUUCUAAAGCUGGUACAUUUAAGAUACCUUAAUUUGUCUUUUCAGAAAAUAGUGAAACUACCGGAGACAUUAUGUGAGUUAUAUAAUCUAGAAAAGUUAGAUAUUACUCAUUGUGAGUAUCUUGAAGAAUUACCUGAAGGGAUUGGGAAGUUAAUAAACAUGAGGCAUUUACUAAAUAAAGGUACUAAUUCUUUAAGGUACAUGCCAGUAGGGAUUGGGAGAUUAACGGGUCUUAGGACCUUGGGUGAGUUCCAUGUGAGUGGAAGAGGAGGUGUUGAUGGUAGGAAAGCAUGUAGGCUUGAAUCUCUUAAAAGCUUGGAACACCUUCAAGUAUGUGGUAUAUGUAGACUGGGUGAUGUAUCAGAUGUGGGCGAGGCUAAGCGAUUAGAACUUGACAAAAAGAAAUACCUCUCUUGUUUGAGACUUCGAUUAGAACGAAGACAAUCAACUACUUCUUGAAGCCCUGCGACCACCUCUGGAUUUAAAGGAAUUAGAGAUACAGUUCUACCGAGGCAACACUGUUUUCCCCAGCUGGAUGACGUCAUUAACCAACUUAAAGAGUUUAGAUCUCUCUUUCUGCGAAAAUUGCUAGCAGCUGCCUCCUUUGGGAAAAUUGUCAUCCCUUGAACAGCUCUUCAUAUCGUACAUGUCGAGUGUGAAAAUAGUGGGUGAUGAAUUUUUGGGGGUAGAAAGUGAUCGUCAUGACUCAUUGUCAUCUUCAUCAGUGAUUAUUGCCUUCCCCAAAUUGAAAUCACUUAGUAUUGAGGGAUUGAUGGAAUUGGAGGAGUGGGAUUAUGGGAUUACAAGAACGGGAAACACCGUCAUCAACAUCAUGCCCCGUCUUUCUUCCUUGGUAAUUGAUAGUUGCGACGAAUUAAAGGCACUGCCCGAUCACAUUCAUCAAACGACAACAUUGAAGCGAUUGUGGAUUUUGAAUUGUGGGCCUCUGGGAGAACGUUACCGCAAGGGGGAAGGAGAAGACUGGCCUAAGAUAUCUCACAUUCCCAACACAGAUAUUCGAUAAAAAGGAUUCGCGCAUUCGAGAUUUGGCGUUGACAAGUAAUUUCUUCUCUUACUCUGAUUUGCUUUGUUGUUGUUUUUAAUCUAAUUGAGAAGCAUAAAUAGCAUUUUGAAUCAAGCUGUAUAUCAGAAAUCUGUAAUACAUAUUUUCUAUUAUUCCGAUUUUCAUAUCUUAAGAAUAUACGCUUUUAAUUUGUGAUUUGGGUAACGUUACUGUAAAACAUUAUUAAUGCAAUAACCUUUCGAGGUCGCGACUAUAAAAUGGUGAGAAUGGUGAGAAUGGUGCCCCUUGAAUAAACUUGUCGUGACUGAACUUUGGUUGGCAGUUGGCCGUGAAUGGAGCCCCUUGAAAAUAUUCCCAACCCAUUGCACUGCAAUUACGAUCGUAAGUACGAUUGCACUGCAAUUUCGAAGCUUCUUCUCCUGCAUUUUUGUUAUUUGCUAUGAAGUGAUAUUCGUAAGUAUGAUUGCAUUAAGCUGCUGCUGGGAGAUAUGAGGUUUUGAUGGCUGCCCAUGCUAUUGUUAGAAGCUGCGGUUCUUUUUCAUCAGCCUGAACCUGGACCUGUCGUUUCCACUGUUUUGAAACUCUUAAGAUUAAACUUUAGUAAAGUUGUUUUAGUUAUCGAUGUAAUCAGGCUGAGGAUACUUAGCUGCCUAUUUAGGCAAAUGUCAGAAUUUAGUUUGUUCGCUGGGAACUGGUGUGGUAACAGCGUCCUGGCAAAGGAUGAUGAGAUAGUUUUUUGAUUGAGUAAAUUUUGGAAGCUUGAGUGUAUUGGGAUUUGCAAUUACAAUCAUCCUCUGCCUCAGGUGAUUUCUUCUCCUGCCCUAUCGUUGUUUGUUCUUUAAUUCAAAGUUAUAAAAUAUUUCAAUCAAAUUUUAUGCCAGGAAUAUGCAAAAGUUUCUAAUAUUUUAUUUCCAUCUGUUUGCCUUGAUAACUUUGCGGCAUAUGUGCUAGUUAAAGAACAAAUCGAAACAGAGCUCAGUUAAAAGUUUCUUCUGCCGUCAUAUUUGAAAAAUGAAACCAUUUCCAAGAAGCAAUGGGUGUUAAGGAAGCUCACAUGAGCAGAGUAGUCAGUGGAGCAGAGGAUUGCAACACCUGCAGCUUGCUGUUACAGGUUGAUGACAUGGCUUGCCAGCUGGAGCCUGGUGGUUAUAUAGUCUCUUGCACACGUGAAGAUUAACAGAGUUUGUUAUAGUAUUUCUUGUGCUUGUAAUUCGGUUUUAAUUAGUUAUAACCAGCUGAUUAGCACUUGCAAUUAGUUGAGAAUUAGUUCUAAUUACUACUGAUGUAUAUAAACAGAAGUAUGUACAGAUUCAGUCAAUUAAUGACUUGAGAUAAUAAAAACGAAGAAAGAGUUUUAGAAUUCUCUUAUUUUCCUUUAAGUUUUCUCUGUUUCCAAACAUCAUUGAAUUGUUACUUGGUAUCAGAGCCAACCAAUAAUGGCGUCUGUUAAUCUUGCUUCUUCUUCCUCAAUUCCAACUCUUAAUCAUGCUACAAAUUCAACAACUGUUUCCUUUACCUUUAACACACCAGUCAAGCUUGAUUAGUCCAAUUGUCUCAUAUGGCGAUCUCAAGUCCUAGCCUCAAUUCGUGGAAACAGGCUCGAAAAGUUUAUUGAUGAUGCAGUCACUCCACCUCCAUCUCAUAUAGCUCAGAGAGUUGAUGAUGAACUCAGAUCUGUGGAGAAUCCAGAAUUCGCAACAUGGAGAUCUCAAGAUCAGGUGCUGCUUGGAUGGCUGCUCUCUUCGAUGAGUGAAGGAAUCAUCAGUCUAGUGUUUAACCUGGAAUCAUCACUUGAAGUGUGGAAAGCUAUUAAGGUACAAUUUGGCUCGCAAUCUAAAUCCAGACUUUUACAUCUGAGAUACAUGAUGAAUUCAACAAGGAAAGAUUAUAUGAAAAUCAUAGACUAUUUUAUUAAGAUGAAAAACAUAGCUGAUAAUAUGGCAGCAGCAGGAAGUGCUUUAAGUAGUGAUGAUAUGAUUUUACAUGUAUUAUCUGGCCUAGGACCAGAUUAUAAUUCAGUAGCUACUUACAUUACUGGUCAAGUAGGAGUUGGUAAAAUGAAUGUAAAUGAAGCCUAUGCUAUGCUGUUAACUCAAGAGGCUAGGAUUGAACAACAAUCACAAAUGCUUGCUGGUGUGGAUAUGAAAAACAAUUUUGAGGCAAAUUAUGCUCAAAACAGAGGAGUAAAGAAGGGAAACAUAUCAGGUGGAAGAGGUUUUGGUGGUUAUGGCUAUAACUCUGGGUUUGGAAAAGGUGGUUAUUACAAAGGAAACUUUGGCACUGAAUCUGCUGGUGGUGGUACUGGUUUUAAUAGUCAGUUCAAAGGUUAUCAAUCUGGUAAUCAAAGAGGAGGAGGAGGAGGAAACUGGAACAAUAACACUAGAAUUAACAAUUUUAACAAUGGGAAACCACCUAUGAACUCUAAACCUCAGUGGAAUACUUCUAAACCUACCUGCCAAAUCUUCCUCAAGCCUGGACAUACUGCAAACAUUUGUUGGAAGCUGGAAGAAUUCAUUGCUUCAGGCUCUUACAGAUCACCUCCAAAUAGAGGACCAAAGGCUGCCUAUUUAGCCAACAUGGAUGCUCCAGCUGAUACAAAUUGGUAUCUUGACAGUGGUGCUACACACCACCUCACUAAUGAUAUGAGCAAUAUGAAUAUGGCUGAACCUUUUACAGGUAUUUCUAAACUUGUCAUUGGUAAUGGUGUUGGUUUAUUCAUAACACAUACAGGUUCUGCUGUUUUGAGAAUGAAAAGCUCUAUAAAUCAUGUUGAUCUUAAGCUAAACAAUAUUCUUCUUGUGCCUAAAAUAACCAAAAACCUGAUAAGUAUAUCAAAACUAACCAGAGAUAGUGAUGUUGUGGUAGAAUUUACUAAUGAUUUCUGUUUUGUUAAGGACAAGGUGAGGAAUUUGAUCAUGCUGCAGGGCAAAGCUGAAAAAGGAUUAUACAGAUUGCUAUUAGUCUCCUCAAAUAAAACCUCUCCUUAUCUGUCAAACCAAGGUCUUUUUGCUCAUGUUCAGUCAGCUGUCUCAACUCAACCUAUUUCCAAGUUUUCUGUUGUUGAUUCUAAAUGUCAGAAUAAAAUUGCUUCUCAGUUACAAACUGAAGCACAAUGUAGUCAAAACUCAGAUUGUAUGUUGAGUACUAUGGUUUUACACCAAAGAUUAGGUCAUCCCAAUGCUAGAGUGUUAAAUCAUGUUAUCAAUUCUUGUCCAUCUUUUAAAACCAUCGAUGGUAAUAAAGGUUUUGAUUCUUGUGAUGCUUGUAAGUUGGGAAAAAUGCACAAACUUCAUUUUCCAGUAACUGAAACUAAAACCAAAAAUGCACUUGAAAUCUUACAUACAGAUCUAUGGGGGCCUGCUCCUACACUUUCUAUACAAGGAUAUAAAUAUUAUAUCAACUUUGUAGAUGAUUACACAAGAUUCACCUGGAAUUUUCCUUUAAAAACCAAAGCUGAAGCAUUUCCAGUGUUCAAAGUUUUCAAAGCUCAAGUAGAGAAACAAUUAGAUAAACCUAUCAAGUGUCUUCAAUCUGAUUGGGGUGGUGAGUAUAGAUCAUUUGUUCAUUUUCUUCAAACAGAGGGGAUUCAGUUUAGACACUCCUGUCCCUAUACCCACAAUCAAAAUGGACUUGUGGAAAGAAAACAUAGACACAUCACUGAGUUGGGUUUAACCUUGCUUGCACAAGCCAAGUUACCUAUAAAAUUUUGGUGGGAUUCUUUUCAUACAGCUACCCAUAUUAUAAACAAACUUCCAACUCCUGUUCUUUCCUUGAAAACCCCUUAUGAAUAUCUAUUCCAUCAAAAACCAGACUAUCCAUUUCUCAAAACUUUUGGUUGUGCUUGUUUUCCUUUCUUAAGAGAUUACAAUCAUCACAAGUUUCACUUCCAUACUUCUAAAUGUGUCUUCUUAGGAUACAUCCCUUUACACAAAGGCUACAAGUGUCUUCAUCCAUCAGGAAGAAUUUACAUAGCUAGUCAUGUUCUUUUUUAUGAAACUUCCUUUCCAUAUUCUACUGAUUCUACCUUCUUACAGUCUAUGCCAUCUAAAUCUUCUGACUUCUUUUAUAAUUCCUUACAAGUAUAUCACAUCUCAGUUCCUAAUAGCAAUCAGAAUCCUUUAGCAGCUGCUCCUGCAGAUACAGAUUCUCAUGCCUCCAGUUCUACUCACAACAUCAUCUCCCUUCCUAUUCCUACAUCACAAGUAAAUUCCACCUCACUGAUUUCACCAAAUAAUACUAUAUCUUCACCCAUUGUCCACACAACAUCACCAGCUGCUACCAUAAACACUAUACCAAACACUACAACUUUACCUGCAAUACUACAAAAUUCACCUUCCAGAUCACUUCCCUCAGCUGCAACCAUAAACACUCAUUUUAUGAUUACCAGAGCUAAAGCUGGCAUAUUCAAACCAAAGGCCUUCUUGACAGAUCAUAACAGCCUAGAACCUUCCAAUGCUGGAGAAGCCUUAUCUGAUACUAAGUGGAAGGCAGCAAUGCAAGAUGAAUAUAAUGCUCUCAUUAGAAACAAAACCUGGAGCUUAGUACCAAUGAAUCCAGAAUACAAGUUAGUAGGCUGCAAGUGGGUCUUUAGAACUAAAUACAAUACUGAUGGUUCAGUCUCUAAGUACAAAGCUCGCUUAGUUGCAAAAGGGUUUCACCAAACUGCUAGGAUAGAUUACUCAUAAACUUUUAGUCCUGUAGUGAAAUCUUCUACUGUCAGAGUUAUUCUUAGCUUGGCAGUCAUGCAAGGCUGGAAUGUUAGACAAAUUGAUGUCAAUAACGCAUUUCUUAAUGGGAAUCUCACUGAGGAUGUAUACAUGCAACAGCCAGAGGGUUUUGUUUCAGAGGGAGGAUACAUCUGUAAACUAAACAAAGCUCUUUAUGGCUUAAAACAAGCUCCAAGAGCCUGGUAUGAUAAGCUUAAGGGAUGUCUUACAAGCUGGAAAUUCACUAAUUCUAAGGCUGAUACUUCUCUGUUUAUCAGGCAUGAUGUCAAAGGCAUAAUUCUUGUCUUAAUAUAUGUGGAUGACAUUCUGAUCACUGGACCAGAUUCAGACUUGCUGGAAUCUUUUAUUGCUAAGCUCAGCAAAGUUUUUGCAUUAAAAGACUUGGGUCUAGUAACAUAUUUCCUUGGUGUAGAAGUCAGCUAUACAGAUCAUGGAAUGCAUCUCUCUCAGACUAAGUACAUCAAGGAUAUGCUGUCCAAAGCCUCAAUGCAAGACUGCAAAGGAACUGACACUCCUUUCAGCACAGGCUACAAGUUGGAAAGGUCAGCAAAAGGCCUAUUGGGUGCUGAAUUUGAGAAUCCAACCCUCUAUAGAAGCAUUGUUGGAGGUUUGCAAUACUUAAUCUUAACCAGACCAGACAUUGCAUAUUCAGUGCAUAAGCUUAGUCAGUACCUCAGUGCUCCUACACUUCAACACUAGUUAGCUUGUAAAAAAGUGCUCAGAUACCUUCAAGCUACUGUCACAUAUGGUCUCUAUAUUCAACAGGAGGGAACUCUGGAAACUAUAGGACUAACAGGAUAUUCAGAUACUGAUUAGGCAUGUGAUAUUGAUGACAGAAAAUCCAUUGGAGCAUAUUGCAUUUUCCUUGGUAAUAAUUUGGUUUCCUAGUCUUCAAAAAAGCAAGCCGUUGUAGCAAAAUCUAGUACUGAGAGUGAAUACAGAGCCUUGUCAGCAGCCAGCUCUAAACUUUCUUGGCUAUAAUCAUUAUUCUCUGAGCUCAACAUCACAAAAUUACCAACUUCUGUUCUAUGGUGUGAUAACCAGAGUGCUGGAGAUCUAGCUAGAAAUCCAGUUUUUCAUUCAAAAUCAAAACACAUAGAGCUAGACAUUCAUUAUAUUAGAGACAAGGUUCUUAACAAUGAAUUGGAAGUGAGGUACAUUCCCACUGAAGAGCAAGUUGCAGAUGUUCUUACUAAGCCCCUGUCAUUUCCUAAGUUUAGUUAUUUUCGUUCCAAACUCAAUGUGUUCAGUAGACCCUUGAGCUUGAGAGGGGAUGUUAAGGAAGCUCACAUGAGCAGAAUAGUCAGUGGAGCAGAGGAUUGCAACACCUGCAGCUUGCUGUUACAGGUUGAUGACAUGGCUUGCCAGCUGGAGCCUGGUGGUUAUAUAGUCUCUUGCGCCCGUGAAGAUUAGCAGAGUUUGUUAUAGUAUUUCUUGUGCUUGUAAUUCAGUUUUAAUUAGUUAUAACCAGCUGAUUAGCACUUGCAAUUAGUUGAGAAUUAGUUCUAAUUACUACUGAUGUAUAUAAACAGAAGUAUGUACAGAUUCAGUCAAUUAAUGACUUGAGAUAAUAAAACGAAGAAAGAGUUUUAGAAUUCUCUUAUUUUCCUUUAAGUUUUCUCUGUUUCCAAACAUCAUUGAAUUGUUACUAUGGGCAGCAAAUUCAUAUAAAGCGUAGACAAUGGUGAUCAAAAAGGUGAUUCACAAUUUCACUUUUUUUAAUGAAAUUAAUUGUUUGGUUGGAGCUGAUAUUGUUAGAAGGCCAUUGAGCUAACCUAUGUCACUACUUGCCUAGAUUACAGGGGGUCAAAACUCAAAAGAGGCAUUGAAUUUUAAAAGGCAUCCAAUAAUUCUUGUGGCCAUAUAUCAAUUCAUGUAAGUUUGAAUGUAAUUAUUGGUGAAGGGGUUUCACUUCCCGUCUCUAAAUAAAAAUACUGAUUCUUUAAGGUACAUGCCACUAGGGAUUGCGAGAUUAACGAGUCUUUGGACAUUGGAAGAGCUUCUUGUGAGUGGAGGAGGAGGUGUUCAUGUGUAGCAAAGCAUGUGGGCAGUGGGCUUGAAUCUCUUAAAAACUUGGAACUCCUCCAAGCGUAAGUAUACGUAUACUGGGAAAUGUGUUAGAUGUGGAUGAGGCUAAGAGAUUAGAGCUUGACAAAAUGAAAUACCUCUGUCAUUGAGACUUAAAUUUGAUGGGGAAGAAGAAAAAGAAUAGGGAAGGAGAAAGAAUGAGAAUAAUCAACUUGUUCUUGAAGCCUUGCAACCACCUCUGAAUUUGAAGGAAUUAGAGAUUUGGUCAUACAGAGGCAACAUUGUUUCCCCCCGGAUGAUGCAAAAGUUGAAGGAAUUUACCAAUCUAAGGAGUUUGACACUCUUUAAAACUGCAAAAAUUGAGAGCAGUUGCCUUCUUUGGGAAAAUUGUGAUCCUUUGAAAAUCUCAGCAUAUUGUACAUGGAGAGUGUGAAAACAGUGGGUAAUGAAUUUAUGGGAAUAGAAAGUGAUCUUCAUGACUCAUCUUCAUCUUCAUCAGUUAUUAUUGCCUUCCCCAAAUUGAAAUCACUUUCAGUUGAGGGAUUGAUGGAAUUGGAGGAGUGGGAUUAUGGGAUUAAAAGAACAGGAAACACCUUCACCAACAUUAUGCCACGUCUUUCUUCCUUGGAAAUUAGUGUGGGGUUAUGGGAUCGCACAACGACGUUGAAGGUAUUGCAGAUUGUGGCAUGUGGUACUCUAAGAAGACGUUACAGACAGGGGAGAGCAGAAGACUGGCCUAAAAUGCUAAUGUGGAGUACAAUCAUAAAAUGCUAAUGUGGCCACCCUGGUUCUUAAUUAAGGUUGUGCAUAUUAUUGUAAAAGAUGAUUAAUUCAAUUUGAGUCAUUCGUUUGCUUUGAUAAUGAUAGUAAUUUUAUAUUUUGACAAUUUGCAAGGUGAGAAUGGUGCUGAUUGGUGAUACAGGAUAUGGUUCAAACACCAUUGAAUAAAGCUACGGACAUGGUGGCUCAACUUAGCUAGAUUGCUGUCAAAAUUGGUAAGUUGGCUUGUCAAUGUAUUGAUGCUUUUGUUUUCUCUCAACCCUAAUUACCUUACCUUCAUUUAGUUUGGCUUUGGAGUUGAGUAAUAACUUUCAAGGUUCUCAAACAGAGCAGGACAACCGAAAAAAAAUAGCUUAAUUUGCUGCAGAUCACGUGUUACCAAUUAUUUAAGGUAAUUCUCGUUUACUUGCUUCUACACUAUAGAGUACGUGUUCUGGCUGGUUUAUGUAAUUCAUCAAAUGUUAUUUCCUUAUUGUUCCAUUGAUAUGUUUGUUAGAAAGUGAAACCAUUUCCAGGCAGCAGUUGGCAGUGAAUUCAUGCAAAUGUUGAUGCCAUUCAUAGAUAUUGAAGACAAUGAUGAGCCAAAGGUGAUAAAUCAUUAAUGCAUAGUUACCAAAACCUCCAUCCUUCUCUCAUUGUAAUUUGAUUUGAAAUGAAUAAUUGCUAGGUAAUUGAAGCCAAUAUUGUUAGAAACGGUGUUGAGCUACCCAAGCUAAGAAGUUAGCUGCCAAAAAAUGCAGGGGAUCAAAAGAAGCAUUGCAGUGCUACAAUGAAGCUACUGGGAAAUUUAAAUCCCAUAUUAGACUUUCCUCACAUCAGAAGCUGUGGAUCUUCGGACAUCAGGUUUUUUCACAGUUCUGAAACUCUCAGGAUUAAACUCUAUUAAAGUUGUUGUAGUUGUCUACGUUCUCAGGUCAAGGAUUCUAAGCUGCCUAUUAAGGCAAAAUGUCAGAAUUCCCCUAUUAUUUUUUUUUCAUGUAAAAUUAUGUUGUUGUCUUCGCCCAUGAAUCUUAGCUAAAUUCUGAACCAAUUGUUUGCUAUUAUAAAUUUCAUUGUUAAAUAUUAAUUGUGAUGUUGGUGUUGAGUUUCUUUUAAAGUCACAGAAGCCUGACGAUUGAGUUCCGUGAUUCUGAGAAGCAGUAAUAUUUUGAACAAGUGAAGGUUCUUCGUUUUUAAUUAUGUUCUGCACCUUUACAGUAUGAGUAAAUGUCUAAGAGGCGAGAUUUUAAUUUCUGUAAAUGCUAAAUUUCGCAAAACAAUAAAAAAAUAAAUGCAUGACAGUGACUUCAAGAAAUUAGAUUAUUGAAUUUGGCCAUUUUAAAAUUGAACCAGAGCUCAGAAAUGUAGAAUAUAAAUAUUGGAGAUUUGAACUUCAAUCAUUAGAUUUGAAGCUAAAGAGGUAAGCCAUUAAUUACAUCAAAUGAUUUGGAAAAUGGAGGAAUUGUAAAAAGGAAACUUUUUCUUUGUCCGAUUCAAGAGGAACAAGAGUAGCCUAAGAUAUUAAAGACAAUGUUGAGGCAAAGGAAACAUAAAUCCCAACCAUUGCAUGUGAACAUGAUCACAAUAAAUCCCAACCAUCCAAACCAUUUUUUUGAGAAUUUUCAAUUGAAAGUGAAACCUUUUGACAUUUACCUAAUAAAGUAAGUUAAACGAGAGAAAUAAAGGGGGGAAAAAAAAGUUGACUCAAGUCAAUACAGAAUUAUUAGUUCAACCUAGAGUAACUAAAACAGAGCCACUUGAGUUUCAAAAAUAUCUGCAUUCAUCACCUUCUCCAACAGCUUAUGAGCUACACACGAAUCAUUUCCUUUUAGCAUUUUUGCAGCAGCAAUUUCUCCCCUCGUUUGUCAUCAAUUUCUCCCUUCUCUUGGGGAAAAAAGGGCAGUUGUAAAUUACAUUAUUUGUAACUUUGGCGGACUCUUUAUAUAACACAAAUUCUAUCAUUUAAAGAAAUUAUAAUGAUGCAAUCGUUUCCCCUCUCUUGGAGCAGCUGAUUAUCUUUGCUGCUGAAGAGAUGAGACAACAGGGGAAGCUGGUGAGUGUUGGAUGAGCGGAUCACAGCAUGCGCCAAAUUGCAAAUUGAGAGCGGCAUUGAUGACAAUGCUCUUGGUGCUCCUUAUCUGAAGAAGAAGGUAUAUUCCUGCUUUCCUGCUUCUUGCUUUGGUUUCAAGCAAGUCUUUCACUGUCAUAACAUUUAUUGUAAUUUCAUUUGGAGAUAUGUAAUAUCUGUUGUACAGAUAUAUUUCAUACACCAGCUGUUAAUAAUUCUGCCUGCAGAGAACUUACAAAGGAGCUGUGUGAUGUAAUAGAAGACUAUGUAGUCUGGUCAAUUUUUUCAACCUUAGAUAUUAGGAAGUUAUGUAUUUCAUUAUCAGUUAUCAUUAUGAUUUUCAUCUUCAAAAAGAUAAAUGGAUGGCUUUGAAUGGCUUGUGUUUGAGGAUUUUAGUUUGACUUAUCUUGAUUGAAGUACUUUUUGACAAUAGAAUUCCUUCAUGAUUUAAACAUUCUUUUGAAAACCAAAUAAUAAAAAAAUAAAUAAACUAACAAAUAUUAUUUUAUUAGUGCUCUUUUCAUCAAAUAUACAUAAGAGUAUUGUAAUUUAUAGCAACUAAUUUUUCAUUAAAUACACCCAUAACAAACUAUUAAAAAUAAAGUGAUAGAAAAAUGCCUAAUUUUUCAUACUUUCUAAUUUCUUUUGGCCCUAAAAUAUGGGUAUUUAUGCCAUAAUAAGCCCAUGUAGAUCUCAAUGCCGAAAGUUCGAUAAAUGGCUUUCAAGGAUUGAUAAUUAUCUAUUAACAUUCUUAAUUAUAUUCAGUUAAAAUAUUAAUAUUAAAUACAUUCUUAAUAUUAAUAUUCUUGGAUGAAUUUCUUUGUGGAUUUAAGAAUAAAAUAUUAAAUAAUUUUAUUUUUCUUUUAUUCCGUAACUUAGACCAAAAAAGGAAAUGAGUUUCCCAAGGACUUCUCAUGUUUCCCAUCCUCCAUACUGUGCAGAGGAGUUUAGCACCCAUCAACUUUUAUUUUUUAAAACUCAUAAUGGCCAAUGAAUAAAGCUGUGGUGGCUGAACUUAGGUUGAUGUCAAAGAGGUAAUUGAAUUGGCCUGUUAAGAUGGAUGCUUUUUGUUGAUCAGGCGACAGAGCAGGACUAUGAAAAAGACAAGCUUAUUACCGGUAACUCAAGUUUACUUGCUUGUUAUAUAAUAUGCUUUUUGUCACCGAAUUUCAUUUCCAGUACGUCUCCAUCGGUAUCAAGAAGAAACAGAACUCAAAGAAAUAUUUUUUCAAUCUUCAUAUUUGUCUGAAUUCGUCCUUUCAUUAAGAAUAACCAUUUUCAGGCAGCAGUUGGCACUGAAUUCACGCAAAUCUUGAUGCCAUUCGUAGUCGCAGACAUUAAAGACAAUGAUGAGCCAAUGGUGAUUAAUCAUAAAUGCAUAAUUAACAAACUUCCGUCCUUCUCUCAUUGUAAUUUGAUUUGAAAUUAAUUAUUGCUAGGUAACAUUAAUUCCAACCAUUGCAAGAUUUUUCCCUUAACAUAAUUCGGUAACAUUUAAUUGCAUGUGAAAUUGAUCAUAAUACCGUGAAGGACCUACCAAAACUUUUUUUUGAGAAAUUUCGAUUGAAAGUGAAACCUUUUGACGUUUACCUAAUAAAUUUAGUAAAUCUGGAAAAAAAAAAAAGUUGACACAAGCCAAUGCAGAAUAAUUAAUUAAAUCUGGAGUGACCACAUUUUCAAAAAUAUCUGCAUUCAUCACCUUCUCCAACAGCUAGUCAGCCACACACUGUUGGGGAAAAAUUAGGUUUUUAAAUUUUAUAAAACCUUUUGAAGAUCGCUCUCAUAUAAUAUAUAAGAAUUUGUAUUCUAGAAAUCGUACCUUGAAAAUCCGAGUUGGCUUUUUCCGCUGAAGUGAUUUAGGCUCCUAGAUCACGAUCCGCCACCACCACUCCUGUUAGAUCACAAUCCGUCACCACCACGCUUGUUAGAUCACGAACUGUCUCCAAUGAUCUUCCAAGUUAUAACUCAGGUUCGAUCUACACUUGACGUGUGGGUGCCUUUAUCACUACCAAAGCAACUAGCACGAGAAAAUUUUUCUUCAAUAGAGAGAAAAAUCUUAUUCUCCGAUUUGUAUAAAGUGGCUUCUACCUUUUCUUUAGAGAAAAAUAAGCUUUUUAUAUCACCCUUUAGUGAAAACCCUAGGCUCCAAAUAAUGCCCAAAAUAAAACUCACGUUACUUUUCAUUUAAUAGGGGACCCACCAUGUAAAAUAACAUAAGGCCCUUUACACAUAAGCUAAUUAAAUGGAGCCUCUUACUAAAUGAUAUAUUUAGGCUUUUGACCCAAAUAACUAGUUAUCUUGCUUAUUAGUCCAGUAGUGGUGCAGUCAAUUAAAUGAGCUAACCCGGGGAUCAUUUGGGAACAUACAAUAAUGGCUACAAUAAUUAGGCCUGUAAUUAAACUAGCCCAAUUAUUUAAUUUCAAAUCUACUCCACUAAAAGAUUGGAACUGACUUCCAUAAUUGCAUGCUCGAAUAAUAAUUCGUCCCAAGCCACAUUGAUUUCUUUACUGCACAAUCCUUUGUACCACAUCGUUAAUUAAAUUGAUAUCUCAACUGUCCAAUCAAUUUAAUAACAUCUUAUUCCUUGAUCCUUACUGAUUUUUUCUAAUGAUCAUUUUCAACAUACUAAAUAUGUUGACACACUCUGGCCAGAGAAUUCUAUGAUCAAGUGCCGAAAAUCUAUCAAGAGAUGUGUUGUACAAAUUCUAUAUUGUCAAUCCAUAACUCCAAUACUCAUAAUUGCUCCCACCAAGAUACCGGGUAAUCUUGACCACAAGGAUGUGUCGUGCCCAUUGGUAACUCAAAUGGAAUAACAAUUACAAUCAUGAAAUCAUAAUUAACUCAAGAUUAAGAUUACAGUAAAAUCAACGCCUAUGAGAUUUAAUAAGUCUGACAGUUAUUACAAAGUUAAUUAAAUCUCAUAUGUGAUCCUGUUCAAUGUAGUCGUACUACAUCAAUAAAUUCAUACAUGAUUAAGACAAAUCAUUCAAUGAAUUUAUUACAGUCUAUACCUAAAUAAAGUGCCCAACUUUAUUUAUCAACUGCAAACAAAAUUUAUUUAAUCAUAAGAUAACUUGUAUUUAUGUCUUCUGUGAAUCCACAUGGUGAUCACAUAAAUACAUAUAAUAUGAUUAAAUGGACUUUAAUAAAAAUAUUAAUACAAUUAAGAUAUUUGAAUAAAAUACCUCAUUAAUUUUAUUAAUCAGAAAAAAUGUUUAUUACAAUUAAAUAAACACAUAUGCUUUUAAAGAGCAUAUUUUCCCAACAAUCUCCCACUAGCUCUCAAAGCAUAUCUGGCAUAUUGCACAUGCUUUCGGGCUCUAAGUGCAGGUUAUAAAGGUUUCCCACUAAUGGCCAUUGUAAUAAGAUCUGCCAUUUAGCAUCUAAUGCCAUUUAGGGUACUGUCAUAUAACCUUUCUACACUAUUCCCUUAUAAGAUGAUACUUCAUGUCAGUAUGUUUUGUUUCUUGUGGUUCCUUAGAUUGAGCUACUGCACCACCAUUAUCACAAAAUAGUUUAAGGGGUGUAGUUACAACAGGUACCACCUCAAGAUUUUGUAGGAACUUGCGGAGCCUAUAUAGCUUCUUUUGCAGCUUCAGAUGUAGCCACAUAUUCAGCUUCAGUUGUGGAGUCUGUGAUACAAGAUUGUUUCACACUCAUCCAACUAAUAGCUCCACUUCCUAAUGUAAACACAUAGCCGGAAGUUGAUUUUCUAAAAUCCUUAUCUGACAAAAAAUCAGAAUUAGUAUAACUCACUAGAAUAAGUUCAUCACCAGAAUACACAAGCAUAUAAUUUUUAGUUCUUUUCAGAUACUUUAUAAUAUGCUUGACUGCAGUCCAGUAUUGAGGUCCAUGAUUAAAUUGAUAUCUGCUAACCAUCCCUACCGAAAAACAGAUGUCUGGCCUAGUGCAAAGCAUGGCAUACAUGAGACUUCCCACAGCUUCUGCAUAGGGAACUCAUCUCAUUCUCUCUAUCUCUUCAGAUGUUUUAGGUGAUUGAUCCUUAGAGAAUGUAAUUCCAUGUCUGAAUGGUAAUAAACCAGUCUUGGAAUUUUCCAUGCUAAAUCUAGCCAAUAUCUUAUCGAUAUAGACCGCUUGAGACAAGGCUAAAGUUUUAUUCUUCCAGUCUCGUAGUAACUUGAUACCAAGAAUAUAACUUGCCUUUCCCAGGUCUUUCAUAUCAAAUUGUUUUGCUAACCAAAUCUUUAUUGUAGUCAAUACAUAUAAUAUGAUUAAAUGGACUUUAAUAAAAAUAUUAAUGCAAUUAAGAUAUUUGAAUAAAAUACCUCAUUAAUUUUAUUAAUCAGAAAAAAUAUUUAUUACAAUUAAAUAAACACAUAUGCUUUUAAAGAGCAUAUUUUCCCAACACACACGAAUCAUUUCCUUUUAGCAUUUUGCAGCAUCAAUUUCUCUCCUGUUAAUCUGGAGGAAUCCGUCAGACUUUGGCUGGAUCGGCUCAAGUACGCAUCCUACGACAUUGAAGAUGUGUUGGAUGAGUGGAUCACAACAAGAGCCAAAUUGUAAACAAGAGGUUGAUGACAAAUAUAUCUGUUGCUUCUCAUCUGAAGAAGAAUGUAUCUUCCUGCUUCCCUGCUUUUUGCUUUGGUAUCAAAUAAGUCUUUCUCCGUCAUAACAUUUAUUGUAAUUUCAUAUGAGAUAUUACAUAAUAUAUCUGUUGUUCAAAUAUAUUUUAUAUACAAGCUGUUAAUACUUAUGCUUGCAGAAAGCUUACAAAGGAGUUGUGUGAUGUAAUAGAAGACUACAGUCUGGUCAAUUUUCAACUUUAGAUAUUCAGGUCAUCAGUUUCUCUUGAAUUCUUUCUUGAGUUUCUUUGAAUUAUUUGUGAAUAAGAUCUUAGUUGGCUGCUCCUCUUCAGGAUAAGGAAAGUGUGGCAAAACUCGUGAAGCUGAUAGAUAAAAGCAAUGGGUAUAUCUUUGCUGGCAUGGAUGCCAGCGCAGUUGAAUUCAGCAAGGUUGCCAUUCGCGAUGUUGAUUGGGAUUACUUCAGAUAUCCCUCUUUUCACCUAUUUUCAAUCUUGUGAUUCUCAUUUUCAUAAAACAUUUUGGUUAUUUAAUUAUGGCUCAUUGUAUGCAUCUGCAUCCUCUAACUUGUUCGUUUGAGAAACAAAUUUUGCUGUUAGGUAGGCUUCAAGCUUGAUUCAUGCUUUUUCCAUAAAUGUACCAAAAUCAUGGAAACAUCUUUUUCCCAGAUAUUGUAUCCACACUUUUCCCAUCUAAAAGACAAGUUUUGCUUAACAAAGAAAUCUACAGUAGCUGAAGUGCAGGAGAAGUACAUUAAGGAUGAUGACGAUGUUAACUAAAAGGGAACGCGAAGAUAUGUGGUGUGCAAAUCGUAAGCAAGCUGUGAGUUGAAUGAAUAAAGUUUGGUUUCCAGAAACGACCACGUUUUGGAGCUGUAAAACCUUCAUUAGUCACGUGCUGCUGUUCUUAACUGAAAACGAUUUAGUCGAAACGACAUGGGUGGAGCGCGUUUUACAUAUCAGUUUAAGUUAACCACAUGAGGAAGCAUGUGAUGAAGGUUAUUCUGAGUUUGUUAAAGGUUGUUAACCACGUGUCAACGAGCUGUACAAUCUAGAAAUCAAGUUGGCUGCCUAAACAGAGUAUAAAGGCUAGGUUUUGGGGAAAUUCAGGAACGAAUUUCAUGAGUCUUGCUGUGAGGGUUUUGUGAGAGAGAAAGUAUUAACUUGUUCUUUGUAAAGUCUGGUGGAAGGCUCUGUAACAAUCUCCAUUGUUGAUUCAAUAAAGCUCAUCUUGAGGCUUCUCCAAUGGAUGUAAGCUGAGCAUUCCAUGCUCAACUGAACCACGUUAAAUCUUGGUUUCUGUGGGUUUCUUGUUUCUAGUUCUUGUUCUUUUUGUUAUUGAGUGAGUUUGUCUAAUUAGAUCUUGGGGUUGUGCAACUUGCAUUGACUAGAUCACUAGCAUCCUGGGCAGUGAUCAAUUUAGCUUGGUUUAAAGGCUUGCUGUUCACUACAAUUGGUACUAGAGCUUGGUGUUCUGUGAUCAAGUCCAAGUAUGGUGUCUUCUAAGGUCGAUGUAGAAAAAUUUACAGGCAAGAAUGACUUCAAUAUGUGGAAGAUGAAAAUGGAAGCCUUGCUGAUCAUUUAGGGUUUGGGAGAUGCAAUUGAGCCUGAAAUGAAGGAAGGUAAAGGGGUUUCUUCAUCAAAGACUCCAGAGGAAGUUGUUGAAAUCCACAAAAAGGUCAGAAGUACAAUAAUCCUGAGUCUUGGUGAUUCAGUCAUUAAAGAAGUGGCCAAAGAUAAGACAGUUGCUGGAUUAUAGAGCAAACUGGAAAGUCUUUAUAUGACCAAGUCACUUGCAAACAGACUCUACAUCAAGAAAAGGAUGUUUACACUAAAAAUGGUGGAAGGAGCUUCACUGGAAGAACACAUCGAUGAGUUUAACAAGGUAUGUGAUACCCUGGAAACCAUUUAUGCUACUCUGGAUGAUGAGGGGAAGACUCUCUUGCUAAUCAAUUCAUUACCAAAAUCCUAUGAAAAUUUGGUUGAUGCCCUGAUGUAAGGAAGACAAACCCUAACACUUGAUGAAGUUAAAUCUACCCUAAAUACAAGGGAACUUCAAACUAAACAAGGGCAUUUGGAGAAUAAUAGAAGUGAAUGACUGAUAAUAAAGGUGAAAACUGACAAGAAGAAGAAGAAAGGCAAAUCCAAGAACAAAGAAAGAGACCUAAAAUGCUUUCAGUCUCACAAAGAAGGCCAUUUUAAGAGGGAUUGCCUUGAAAAGAGAUUCAAGCCCAAAGAUUCAAGAAACCAAAGUGGAGAUGCAGCUGUAGUGGAAGAGGAAGGAUAUGAGUCUGCUGGUGUAUGUGUGGCAAUAGAAAACAGCCAAAAAGGUAAAUGGGUUCUGGACUCUGGAUGCACUUUUCACAUGUGCCCUUUUAGAAAUUACUUUAAUAAAUAUCAAGAUUUUGAUGGAGGUAGAGUAAUUAUGGGAAAUAACUCUAUUUGUAAAAUCAUUGGAAUUGGGGAUGUAAGCCUUAAGCUACAUGAUGGUUCAAUAAGAGUGCUUAGGCAAGUCAGGCAUGUGCCAGACUUGAAAAGAAAUCUAAUUUCUCUUGAGGUGUUGGACCAAAUAAGGUGUAGAAUUAAGCUUGAAUCUGGAGAAUUGAGUGUUUUGAAUGGUUCAAAUCUAGUCAUGAAAGGGACGAGGAAGAAUGGAGUUUACAUCUUAGAUGGUGAGGUGAUAUCUGGAGUAGCUGAUGUAUCCAUUAAGCAUGCUAAAGAUAAAACCAGGUUAUGGCAUCCAAGGUUAGGGCACAUGAGUGAGAGAGGAUUAAAAGAGUUAGAAAAACAAAGGUUGUUUGGUUCUGACAAGAUUGGUAAUCUAGAGUUUUGUGAAGAUUGUGUUCUAGGGAAGUCUUCAAGAGGCAGCUUCAAUAGAUCUAGUCAAAAAUCAAAUGAGAGGUUGGAUUAUGCACACUCAGACUUGUGGGGGCCUGCACAGUGUGUAUCUCUGCGAGGGAAUAAGUAUUUUUUAUCUAUCAUAGAUGACUUCUCUAGGAAAGUUUGGGUGUAUGUGUUAAAGAACAAGGAUCAGACUUUUGAGAGGUUUAAAGAGUGGAAACAGAUGGUAGAAAACCAAACUGGUAAGAGAUUAAAGAAGCUGAAAACUGAUAAUGGUCUUGAAUUUUGCAACCAGCCAUUUGACAACUUUUGUGCAAAUAAAGGUAUUGGUAGACAUAAGACAGUAAGGAUGACCCCAUAACAAAAUGGGUUAGCUGAGAGGAUGAAUAGGACUCUAUUGGAGAAAGUAAGAUGUAUGCUGAUUUAGUCCAAGCUCCUAAAAACAUUGUGGGCAAAAAUCUUACUCACAGCAUGCUACCUUGUCAACCUAAGCCCUUCUAUUGGAAUUAAUUUCAAAACACCUUUUGAAUGUGGUCACGGAAACCUGCUGACUAUGGAAUCCUUAAAGCCUUUGGCUGCCCAACCUAUGUUCAUGUCAGUCAAGGUAAGCUAGCAGCUAAAGCCUUGAAAAGUGUUUUCAUAGGCUAUCCAGAAGGAGUCAAAUGGUUUAAAGUUUUGUGCACUGAGCUUAAUCCACCAAAAUGUAUAGUGAGUAGGGAUGUGGUGUUUAAUGUGGGGAGUUUGAUGAAGGUGAAUCAUGAACCUGAUCUGGAAACUGAAAAUUCAAGACUAAUAGAGAAACUAGAGUUUGAGGUGGAGCCAUCUACUUCCAGAAACACAACUGAAGCUGCAGAUUCAGGUGGUGUUCCUGAAAACACUGAUGACACACAGGCACCUCAAGAUCAAUCAAGUUCUCAGGAGCAAAUCAGAGAAUACCAGCUCACCAGAGAUAGACAAAAAAGGCAGAUCAAACCAACAAGGAGAUAUGGCUAUGCAGAUUUAAUAGGUUUUGCUCUAACAGUUGCAAAAGAUAUAGAUGGUGAGGAACCAAAGAAUUUUAAGGAAGCAACCCAGAGCCUGUUCAAAGAAGAAUGGCAAAGAGCUAUAGAUGAUGAAAUGGCCUCCCUCUAUAAAAACAACACAUGGGAGCUGGUCAAGAAGCCUAGAAAUAGAAGAGUGGUUGGCUGCAAAUGGAUUUUCAAAAUUAAGGAGGGCAUAAAUGGAUCUGAACCAAGGAGAUUCAAGGCUAGACUUGUGGCCAAGGGUUAUAAACAAAAGGAAGGGAUAGAUUUUAAAGAAGUAUUUUCUCUAGUGGUUAGACAUGCCUCAAUUAGAGUUAUGUUAGCCAUAACAGCUGUGCAAGACAUGGAGCUUGAUCAACUCAAUGUCAAGACAACAUUUCUGCAUGGAAGACUUGAGGAAGAAAUACCGAUGUCCCAACCUGAAGGGUAUGAGUUCCCAGGUAAAGAAGACCAUGUGUGUCAACUAAAGAAGUCACUCUAUGGGCUUAAACAGUCUCCCAGACAGUGGUACCUAAGAUUUGAUAAAUUCAUGCAACUGCAUGAGUUCAUCAAAUGUAGCUAUGACUGCUGUGUUUACUACAAGACAAUCAAGGAUGGUCUGUACAUAUACCUCCUUCUAUAUGUAGAUGACAUGUUGGUUGCUUGCAAAGAUAAAGAGGAAAUUGAUAAGCUCAAGGUGCUGCUGAAUUCAGAAUUUGAAAUGAAGGACCUGGGGUAUGCAAUGAAGAUUCUAGGAAUGGAGAUCAGAAGGAAUAUAAGUAAAGGGAUCAUGUUUCUGUCACAAGAAAAAUACUUGAAAAAAGUGUUAGAAACAUUUGACAUGAGUAAGUCUAAACCUGUGCAACUACCAUUAGCUUCACAUUUCAGGUUAAGCAAUUUGCAGUAUCCUUAAACAGAAGCUCAAAAGCAAGAUAUGGCAAAUGUGCCCUAUGCAAAUGCAGUAGGCAGCCUUAUGUAUGCAAUGGUAUUGACCAGGCCAGACAUAACUCAUGAUGUCAGUGUAGUUAGUAGAUAUAUGGCACAACUUGGGGAAGACCAUUAGAAGGCUAUAAAAUAGAUACUCAUGCAUCUCAAAGGCACUGUAAAUUGUGGUCUGAUGUAUGGCAAGACAAAAGCAAAUGAUGAGGUUUUGGAAGGGUAUGUUGACUCAGAUUAUGCAGGGGAUUUGGAUAAAAGAACGUCUCUUACAGGUUACAUAUUGAUGUUAAAUGGUUGUACUGUAAAUUGGAAGGCAACUCUACAAAGUGUAGUGGCUCUUUCAACAACUGAAGCAGAGUAUACAGCUGCUACAGAAGUUGUAAAGGAAACACUUUGGCUCAAGGGGUUGGUGACAGAGUUGGGAUUAAAUAAGAAGUCAGUAUCAAUCUGCUGUGAAAAUGGUGAAGAUUCAUACUGAUGAGAAUUCUGCAGAUGCUGUUACUAAGGUGAUUCCUGUGGAUAAGUUCAGAGCUUGCCUGGACCUAGCUGGCUUGUGCAGUCAGUGAUAUGCAUAAGGUUUGGAGAAGGAUUUAGAGUGAGGGUAAACUUUGAUUCAAGUUGGAGAAUUGUGAGUUGAAUGAAUCAAGUUGGUUUGCAUAAACGAUCGCGUUUUGGAGCUGUAAAACCUUCAUUAGCUCACAUGCUGCUCAGCUGGUUCUUAACUAAAAACGAUUUAGUUGAAAUGACAUUGGUGGAGUGCGUUUUACAUAUCAGUUUAAGUAACCACGUGAGGAAGCAUGUGAUGAAGGUUAUUCUGAGUUCAUUAAAGGUUGUUAACCACGUGUCAACGAGCUGAACAAUCUGGAAAUCAAGCUAGUUGCCCAAACAGAGUAUAAAGGUUGGGUUUUGGGGAAAUUCAGGAACGAAUUUCAUGAGUCUUGCUGUGAGGGUUUUGUGAGACAGAAAGUAUUAACUUGUUCUCUGUAAAGUCUGGUGUAAGGCUCUAUAACAAUCUCCAUUGUUGAUUCAAUAAAGCUCAUCUUGAGGCUUCUCCCGUGGAAUGCUCAGCUGAACCACGUUAAAUCUUGGUUUCUGUGGGUUUCUUGUUUCUAGUUCUUGUUCUUUUUGUUAUUGAGUGAGUUUGUCUAAUUAGAUUUUGCGGUUGUGCAACUUGCAUUGACUAGAUCACUAGCAUCCUGGGCAGUGAUCAGUUUAGCUUGAUUUAGAGGCUUGCUGUUCACUGCACAUGCCUUUUGCCUUUGUGGAUGUUCAAGCUUGUGAUUCAUGUUUGUUAAUCUAUUAUGCUCUCUUGCAGGAUUUAUAAAGUUUUCGAUCAAUCAAGCAUUUGACUCAAGUUCUUAGCUCUUCACUGCUUGAAUGGGUCAGAUAGGACAAGCGCCGAUGAGGUGGUUUUAAUCAGACCCCUCCUAAUUAUGAUGUAUGGUCCGAAUCUUGGACUUUUUGUACAAAUGUAGCUAUUGAGGACAAUGAUGAGACAAAGGUGAUCAUUCAUUAAUGCGUAAUUACCGAAACCUCCAUCCUUCUCUCAUUGUAAUUUGAUUUGAAAUGAAUAAUUGCUAGGUAAUUGAAGUCAAUAUUGUUAAAAACCGUGUUGAGCUACCCAAGCAAAGAAGUUAGUCGCCAAAAAAUGCAGGGGAUCAAAAGAAGCAUUUCAUUUGAAAAGGCAUGAGAUUCUGUUUAAAUUUGUGCUACUACGGUGCGGUAAUGCUGCUACUGGGAAAUUUGAAAAGGCAUCAGAAGCUGUGGAUCUUGGGACAUCAGGAUUUUUCACAGUUCUCAAACUCUCAGGAUUAAACUCUAUUAAAGUUGUAGUUAUCUUGUUGUCAGAAUUCCCAUAUUAUUAUCUUUUUCAUGUAAAAUUAUCUUGUUGUCUUCACCCAUGAAUCUAAGCUAAAAUUUGAACCAAUUGUUUGCUAUUAUAAAUUUCAUUGUUAAAUGUUAAUUGUGAUGUUGGCGUUGAGUUUCUUUUAAAGUCAUAGAAGCCUGACGAUUGAGUUCCAUGGGAUUCUGAGAAGCAGUAAUAUUUUGAACAAGUGAAGGUUCUUCGUUUUUAAUUAUGUUCUGCACUUUUACAGUAUGUGCAGAUGUCUAAGAGGCAGGAUUUUAAUUUCUGUAAUGCUAAAUUUCGCAAAACAAUAAAAAAAUAAAUGCAUGACAGUGACUUCAAGAAUUUAGAUUAUUGAAUUUGGUCAUUUUAAAAUUGUUGGAAUGUUGAACUUACGUAAUUUUGAUAAACCAGAGCUCAGAAAUGUAGAAUAUAAAUAUUGGAUAUUUGGACUUCAAUCAUUAGAUUUGAAGCUAAAGAGGUAAGCCAUUAAUUACAUCCAAGGAUUUGGAAAAUGGAGGGAUUGGAAAAAGGAAACUUUUUCAUAAACUUCAAGCAUUGGGCAUUUUCAUUUGUCCGAUUCAAGAGGAACGUCAUAGAAAGGGGUAAAGAAAAGAGUAGCCUAAGAUAUUAAAGACAAUGUUGAGCCAAAGGAAACAUAAAUCCCAACCAUUGCAUGUGAACAUGAUCACAAUAAAUCCCAACCAUCCAAACCAUUUUUUUGAGAAUUUUCAAUUGAAAGUGAAACCUUUUGACAUUUACCUAAUAAAGUAAGUUAAACGAGAGAAAUAAAGGGGAAAAGAAAAGUUGACUCAAGUCAAUACAGAAUAAUUAGUUCAAUCUGGAGUAACUAAAACAGAGCCACUAUAUUUUCAACAGCUAAUGAGCUACACACGAAUCAUUUCCUUUUAGCAUUUUUGCAGCAUCAAUUUCUCUCCUCGUUUGUCAUCCAAAAUUAUUCACCAAUACCAUGGCUGAUGCAAUCGUUUCCCUGGUCUUGGAGCAGCUGAUUAUCUUUGCUGCUGAAGAGUUGAAACAACAGGGGAAGCUGGUGAGUGUUGGAUGAGUGGAUAACAGCAUGCGUCAAAUCGCAAAUUGAUCAAUGCUCUUGGUGCUCCUUAUCUGAAGAAGAAGGUGCAAAUUGAGAGCUGAAUUGCACUGUCAUAACAUUUAUUGUAAUUUCAUUUGGAGAUAUGUAAUAUCUGUUGUCCAGAUAUAUUUCAUACACCAGCUGCUAAUAAUUCUGCUUGCAGAGAACUUGCAAAGUGAUUCUGGGAUAUGUAAUAUCUGUUGUAAUAUCUGGAGAUAUGUAAUAUCUGUUGUCCUAGAAAUAUAGAUGUGUGGUUCGCAAAAUUUUCUUGAUCUUAAGAAAGAGUUAUCUUGAAUAGAAGAUAACAUGGAGAAUUCAGCAACUAUACAGUCAUAUUGAUGUCUGUCAACUUGGGUCAGAUGGUGUCGUUUGGAUGGAGAUGUUAGGUCCCAGAUGGUAUGCUUGUUAUCAAUUCCAGUCUAAUUCAUUCAUGCUUUGAUGACAUAUGCGGUGCAGCUUCUUAUCUAAGACCUGUAUAUGUUCAGUCAUCAUUCAGUUCUGUAUUUGGCUGCCAUUCUUUCAAUGAAUUCAAACCACUUUCUGAAUACUUGCAAAUUCAUCCAGUGUUGUCAUUGAGAUGCCAAUAUGUAAAGGAGCAAUAGUUGCCCUUGAUAGUAUGCUUAUUGAUUGCCUCUUGCCUCACUCAGCCUAAGGAAUCUGGUUGUAUGGUGUUCUUGUAAUUUCAUUUGGAGAUAAGUAAUAUCUGUUGUUCAAAUGUAUUUUAUAUACAAGCAGUUAAUAAUUCUGCUUGCAGAAAGCUUACAAAGGAGCUGUGUGAUGUAAUAGAAGACUACAGUCUGGUCAAUUUUUCAACCUUAGAUAUUCAGGUCAUCGGUUUCUCUUGAAUUCUUUCUUGAGUUUCUUUGAAUUAUUUGUGAAUAAGAUCUUAGUUGGCUGCUCCUCUUCAGGAUAAGGAAAGUGUGGCAAAACUCGUGAAGCUGAUAGAUAAAAGCAAUGGGUACAUCUUUGCUGGCAUGGAUGCCAGUGCAGUUGAAUUCAGCAAGAUUGCCGUUCGCGAUGUGGAUUGGGAUUAUUACAGAUAUCCUUCUUUUCACCUACUUUCAAUCUUGUGAUUCUCAUAUUCAUAAAACUUUUAUGGUUCAUUGUAUGCAUCUGCAUCUUCUAAUUUGUACGUUUGAGAAACUAAUUUUGCUGUUAGGUAGGUGUCAAAUUUGAUUCAUGCGUUUUUUAUAAAUUUACCAAAAUCAUGGAAACUUCUUCUUCCCAGAUAUUGUAUCCACACUUUUCCCAUGUAAUUCAGUCAGACAAGUUUUGCUUAACAAAGAUAUCUACAGUAGCUGAAGUGCAGGAAAAGUACAUUGAGGAUGAUGACGAUGUUAACUAAAAUGGGACACGAAGAUAUAUGGUGCGCAAACCGUAAGCAUGCCUCUUACUUUUGUGCAUGUUUACUUGCUUGUGAUUCAUGUUUGUUAAUCUAUUAUGCUCUUUUGUUGGAUUUAUAAAGUUUUCAAUCAAUCAAACAUUUGACUGGUUCAGACAGGACAAGCGCGGAAGAGGUGGUUUUAAUCAAACCACUACUAAUUAUGAUGUAUCUCGGACCUUUGUACAAUAUCAAGCGAUUUUUUUAGUUGAAUCAGCUAGUGUACACAAAUGUCGUUUAUUGAUUUUUCUCUAGUAUAGUUCGUAAUUUUGGUAACACAUCUACUCUAGUAUCGAUUGUAAUUACAAGAAACAAAGUAAUGAAAUUUAUCACUGCAUUCAUAGUUAUGCUUAAGCUCAAAGACCACUGUCAAGAUCAUUUUGGGGCCUCUAUUUGUUCUAUAACAUGAUGUUGACACAUGUCAAAUUAUGAAGCUUGUGAUUAAAAUACUUUUCACAUAUAUAUUUUAAGUACCACUAAUAAUUAAAUAUAUGAAUAAAUAUGGUCAAUGAGGAGGGGAUAAAAUAAAAUGGUUUUAUUUUUUGAAUUACUCAACUGCUUCAAACUUCUAAGAAGUAGAUUUACGAUGAGCGGAAUCUUAAAUUGAGUACGAGCUAGGGAUAACUUAUAAAAUUGGGAUACAAGCUUCAAAGAAAGUGUAUUACUAUUCAUAUGUAGAUUUCGAAUUAAGAAGAUAUGCCAACUAAUUGUAUAAAAAUGUAAAAAUUGAUCACUGACAUAAUCCCAAAUGAUAAAAUGAGCUACCUCGAUCAAAAGGUCAAGAACCUACCUUCUCUUAGGGAUAAGUGAAAGCUUCCCAAUUGAAGGAAAGUGAAGAGAAGAUUCUAUGCUCUCAUUAUUAUUAUUAUUUGUUAGAAUGAAGUGCGAAGUGAGCACAUCAUGCAAGCUCAGCAGAAGUGAUAAGGUGACUUGUAACUCAGCUGGCACUCAAGAGACAAAGUGUAGUGGAGAAAAGUUUCCCAAUUGAAGGAAAGUGAAGGGAAGAUUCUAUGCUCUAAUAAUUAUUAGUUGACAAUGAAUUGGCAAAUAAAAACAAAAUAGCAAGCCUGUAAAGUAAUGAAGUGGAGACAAUGACCAUGUGAUUGAUUGGUAAAUAAAAACAAAAGAGCAAGCCUGUAAAGUAAUGUAAACUAUAGUGUAUAUUCAAGUUAAAGUAAUGGAAACAGUGUAUAUUCACAAAAAAUUCUUUUAUCUCUCAUUGUCUUGUUCUUUUCUUUAUUUACGUUGUCCAGAAGUAAAGCCAUACAUGUGAUGAAGCAUAAAUAAGAAAGCUAUCGCCCGAAAUUCAUUUUCACAAACACUUCAAUAUCCUUUUGAUCACUUUUGCAAACAUCAAUUUGUCUCCUCUUGUAUUCACCAUGGUUGAUGCCAUCGUUUCCCCUCUCGUGGAGCAGCUGAUUUCCUUCGCUGCUGAAGAGAUAAAACAACAGGUGAUCGAAGUUACACCCCUCAUAUUACAAAUACUUACAAUGAUUUUAUUUGGUUUUGCUUUUAUCAAAAACAUUAUAAUUAUAAUUUUUGAAAUUUGAAUUGAAUUUAAUUAAAAGGUGAUAUAGUAACCACUCAUUUUUAUUUUAUUUCAUUUAUAUUCUCGAUAACUACCCAUAUUGUGGUAACUUGCUAUAACUCUCGUAUAUAAGAAAUGAUCAAAACCCAUAAUUUUAACUCUGUAUAAAUAUUCAAUGUUGAGCUAAGGUUUUGUAGAACAUUCAAGUUUAUCAAACAGUCAUUAAUUUAAUGCUUAGUAAAAUCUCAACUCUGCACUGAAUCCCAUAACUAUUACUUAGACUCUAUGAAAAAUUUCAUAGUUUUCUUACAUUCUUUGAGUUUGGUAAGUGAUUUCAUAUAAUUUAUUUUCAAGUUAAAUUUUAAUUUGGUUUCUGAUAUAGUCUCUUUGCCGAAUUGUCUCUUUUAUGAUUCUUGGAUUUUGGGCUUCAACUUUUUAGGAUUUGAUAGUCACAUUUUAUGCCGUGCUCAGAUUGAUUUUCAUGAUUAUUAGUAGCCGUUAAGUGACUUACAAUUUGACGAAAGUUUGAAAGGAAAAAUGUUUCAGGAUUAUGUUUUAAUUGACCUUUUAGUGGAAAUAGGAUGCUUAUAACUUAAUGUGGAUGGUUCGUAAAAUCAUGAAAUUUGGAUAGGAUUCACUAGAAAUAUGUUCAAGACUCUCCAUAAAGUUUCAUAAUUUUUCAUUGGGUCUGGGCUGUUACAGGUGAUGCUUGUGACUGGUGUCGAGAAGGAAGUGAAAAGCCUUACGAACCACCUUCAUGCCAUUCAAGCUGUGCUCGAUGAUGCAGAGGAAAAGAAAGUGAAGAACAAAGCUGUUAGUCUUUGGCUGGGUAGGCUCAAGUAUGCAUCCUACGACAUUGAAGAUGUGUUGGAUGCGUGGAUCACAACAAGACGUAAAUUGCAAAUUGAGGGUGGCGUUGAUGACAAUGCUCUUGCUGCUCCUCAAAAGAAAAAGAAGGUGUGUUUCUGCUUUCCUGCCUCUUGUUUUGGAUUCAAACAAGAAGAAUUUGGUUUCAAACAAGUCUUUCUACGUUAUGACAUUGCCAACAAGAUCAAAGAAAUGAAUGAAGAGCUACAUGAUAUUGCCACUCAAAAAGACAUGUUUAAUCUUAAAAGUGGUGAAAGACCAAGGCGUGUACAGAGUACCUCCUUGAUUGAUGAGGAAGAGAUUUGUGGUAGAGUUGGUGAGAAGAAUGAACUCAUAAGCAAGCUGUUGCGUGAGAGUAGCGAGCAACAAAAAGGCCUCCAUAUCAUCUCAAUUGUUGGUAUGGGAGGCAUAGGGAAAACUACUCUUGCACAACUAGCUUGUAAUCAUGACGAGGUGAAGAGAAAGUUUGACAAAAUUCUGUGGGUGUGUGUAUCAGAAACUUUUGAGGAGUUUAGGGUAGCCAAAGCGAUCGUUGAAGCUUUGGAUAGUCGUGAAUCUCAUUUAGGUGAAUUUCAAUCUCUUCUUAAAUAUAUUUAUGAAUCAAUUGCAGGGAAGAGCUUUCUUCUUGUCUUAGAUGACGUGUGGGAUGGAAAUUACUUGAAAUGGGAACCAUUCUACCGUUGUCUAAAGAAUGGUCUCCAUGGAAGUAAAAUUUUAGUUACCACACGUAAAGGGUCAGUCGCAUCCAUGAUGGGAUCCAUAACUAUUAUCUCCGUUAAGGAGUUAGCUGAAGAGGAAUGUUGGUUGUUGUUUAAAAAGAUAGCAUUUUUUGAUCGGUCCAUCGAGGAACGUGAAAAAUUAGAACAAAUUGGGCAAAGAAUUGCAGGCAAGUGCAAAGGUUUACCUCUUGCAGCAAAGACAAUAGGGCAUCUCAUGCGUUCUAAACAAACUGAAGAAGAGUGGAAAAGAAUUUUAAAUAGUGAUUUAUGGAAAGUAGAAAAGAUUGAGAAAGAUGUUUUGUCCUCUUUAUUGUUGAGUUAUAAUGAUUUGCCAUCUAGAGUAAAAAGAUGUUUUUCAUAUUGUGCUGUCUUUCCAAAAGAUUAUAAUAUAAGAAAAGACAAACUAAUCUCAGUAUGGGUGGCUCAAGGUUAUCUUAGUGCAGAAGCAGCAGAACAAAAUGAGGAGUUGGAGACUAUAGGUGAAGAGUAUUUUAGCAUCUUAGCUUCUCGCUCUUUCUUUCAAGAGUUUAAGAAAAGUUAUGAUAAUUGGAUUAUAGAGUGUAAGAUGCAUGAUAUGGUACAUGAUUUUGCCCGAUUUGUAAGUCAAAAUGAAUGUUUUUCCAUGGCAAUUAAUGGUAGUGAAGAAUCAAACGCCACAAACUCUCUUGAUGAGAAGGUCCGUCAUUUAAUGUUAAUCUUUAGUAAAGGGGCUUCAUUACCUGUUUCCACUCUUAGAGUUAAAAGAAUGCGUAGCCUCUUUAUUAACGAUAGUGAAUCUGAUCAUUCAUCAUUAAAUGGUGAGAUCCUAGAAGAAUUAUUUAGGGAAUUGACAAGUUUAAGGGCAUUAGAUUUUGGCAAAUCGUGUAACUCAAGUUGGUCUUCGACUCUGGAGUAGGGAUGGCAAAAAUCCCCACGGGGACGGGUACCCUCGGGGAUUUUCCCCAUUCGGGGAGGGUAUGGGGAUAAUUUCAUACCCAAUUUCUUAUUCGGGGAGGGGACGGGGAAAUUUUUUUACCCAAUUUCUUAUUCGGGGAGGGGACGGGGAUGAGGUGGAAUCCCCAUCCCCUACCCAUUUCCCCAUUUUAAUUUUUAAUUUAAUUUUAAUUUUUUAAAAUUACUAGUAAAUAAAUUAUAAAAUUUAAAUUAUAAAAUUAUAAAUAUUGGUAAAAAUAAAAAAUAUCAAAAUAUUUAUAUUAUUAAACUUUUAGGCCUAAUUAGCUAAUUAAAGUUCUAAAUUUUUAUUUAGGACAUUAAAAAGACUGAGUAGAUUCUAUUAGCCAAAUUUUUUUUUAAUUUUGAUAUUCUUUAAAUAUUUUAAACUUAAAUCUAUUUUUUAUUUAAUUUUAGAUGUUAUAAUUGCCCACAGCGAAUCACAAUUUUAAUAUCUAAUCUAAUCUAAUCUAAUAUUUACUUUUGAUUUGCUCCGAUUUAACUAUUGUGUUGUAAAGGGAAUAGUCCACAUUUAUAAAGUGCCCACGCCACCAUUGAAAAAGUUAAUUUUGAAUCUAAAUUUGAUUUUAUUUGUAACAAUUUUGUAUUAGACUAUUAAUUUGUUCAUGAUAGUUUGUAAAAUAAGUUUGUAUCUCUUGUAUGUUGCGUUACUUACUAAUUUAAUGUAUGUGACUUUUGUAAUAGAUAUUAAUGUAAGAUAUAUUUCGAACUUUACUUUUAUUUGAAUUUUUUAUUUUAAUAUGAUUAACUCAAAAUCGAAAAAAAAAUGUAUUAGUUAAUCGGGGAUCGGGGACCCUCGGGGAUCCCCUGUUAUUAUCUUCNNNNNNNNNNNNNNNNNNNNNNNNNNNNNNNNNNNNNNNNNNNNNNNNNNNNNNNNNNNNNNNNNNNNNNNNNNNNNNNNNNNNNNNNNNNNNNNNNNNNACCUUAUUUGUGUUUUCAGAAAAUAGUGAAACUACCGGAGACAUUAUGCGAGUUGUAUAAUCUAGGAAAGUUAGAUAUUAGUUGUUGUUAUAGUCUUAAAGAAUUACCUGAAGGGAUUGGGAAGUUAAUAAACAUGAAGCAUUUACUAAAUAGAGAUACUCAUUCUUUAAGGUACAUGCCAGUAGGGAUUGGGAGAUUAACGGGUCUUAGGACCUUGGAUGAGUUCCACGUGAGUGCAGGAGGAGGUGUUGAUGAUAGGAAAGCAUGUAGGCUUGAAUCUCUAAAAAAAUUGGAACACCUUCAAGUAUGUGGUAUACGUAGACUGGGUGAUGUAUCAGAUGUGGGCGAGGCUAAGCGAUUAGAACUUGACAAAAAGAAAUACCUCUUCAGUUUGACCCUUGAGUUUGAUAAGAAGGAAAGAGGAAGAGAAAGGAGGAAGAACGAGGACGAUCAACUUCUUCUUGAAGCCCUGCGACCACCCCUGGAUUUUAAG
rnacentral:lncRNA from 1 species